AUCAUGGUUGUCAUCACCAACUUCUUUGGUAAAUAUGAGGCUGAUUGAUGUGCUAGACAACCGUUUACCACUUCCGACAAGUCAAUUAGUUGCACAAAAUCUUGUUCGCAUUGCUACUUUGGCAUUCGCCUGCCUAAAUCCGCAACCUAAGUCUCGACCAACGAUGAAAAAAGUGUGCGAAGAGUUUCUUUGUGGUCAAACAUCCUUGGGAGUUCCCCUUCGGAUGAUCUCUUUGUUACAACUUGUGAACUGUGAAAUGCAUAUUGGAGGCAAAACUGGAACUUGUAAUGUUUAAACUCCAUGUGGCUGUUCUUGAUUAGAUAUUGUUUAUCAUGCUUUGAUGAUUUGUUUGUAAACCAUAUCCUGUGUUAUAUAUGGUGGAAUGAAUUGCAAUGUUCAAUAAAUUUGUUUAUUUGAUUGUUUUACAUAACAUAAAUUCGACAAUUUGAUCCAAAUAUUCAAACACCAUCCUAAUAGCUUCCUUCAAUUUCGUGCUUCUUAGAUAAAUAAAAUAUAAGUAAAUUAAUGGUGAAUUAAAGCAACAAAAUGCAACCAAUACAUUAAGAAUUUACCUGAACUAACUAUAAUUCAUUAAACAAUCUCUCCACUUAUGUAAUGGAAGUGAGAUUUCACAGAUCUGGGCUAGGUAACAUCCAAACUUAAAAAGCAACCAAAGGGGUCAAAAUGGAGCCAGCACAAAUUCCAACAUUUGUUUUUUUCCAUAUCAAGCACAUUAAGAUUUAUUGCUUGGUAGAGUUAAAAAUUGAAAUGAAAGAAAAUAAACAUUUAAAAAUGCAUAAUUUUGAACUAAUAUACACCUCUCUCUCAUUUUCUUUCUUUUCAUCAUUCUAAUUUGGAAGUAUCGGUUUUUAUACAUUACGAUGGAAAAUGAUUCUUUCCUCUCACUUUUCUUCCAUAUCAAGCACAUUCAAAUUAAAAUAUUUAUUUAAUUUUUAUACAUCGUAAAAUGUACCAAUAGAAUUAGAACAUUAAUACACAUAUCAAUUUUAAAAAAAAGAUUAAUUUUUAAUAUUUUUAAGCUUCGUAUAAUUUAGAAAAAAAUUGUCUUGAAUGAAUCUAGACAUAGACUUAACUUGUAAAUGGUUUUUAUUAAUUUUUAAUUUUUUGAACUUUAUUUAAUAUUUUUAUAAUUUUGAAUAUUUUUUUACAAAUUUAUAAAAUUUUAAAAAAUAAAUUUUUUUAAAUAUUUUUUUAAUUUAAAAAAAUUUUAAGCUUCGAAACGAAUGAACUUGGUACUGCAACAUCAGCAACUAUUCCUUUUAAAAAUUAAAUAUUCCUUUUAAUUUUUAUUUUUUAAAAUAAAUUUUUUUAUUUUUGUUGACAUGGUAGUUGAAAUGGUAAUGGCACAUCAACAACUAUCACUGACAUGAAGCAUCAUGUUAGCGUCGUUAAUGAUUAUGUCAACAUUGCAAUGGUCAACAUUAUUCAAAGGGUCUAUUUGGUCAAUUUUGUUAGUUUAGUGGCUCAAUUGGGUGCAAAAAGUUCGUAGAGAUUUAAUUAAUUUUUUUGAAAAAGUUCGAGGACCAAAAAUAGCAUUAAACCCUUCUUUAACUAUUGAUAUAUCCUUUUUUAUGUAUAGGUCAACGGCCUAUUUGACCAAUUUCCUUUAUUUUAGGGAUACUGCAAACUACCAUCUUUCUAAUUUCCAUUGCCAGAACUAUGACAGUAGUAGAUCCAUCGCCUUUGGCGUCCGAAGCCAUAGCUAUGGUAGAAAGUGGGUGGUGGAGUAACUAUAGCAACAAUGCUUCAGAACGUUGCCAGUGGCCAGGUAUAUCAUGCAACACUGCUCGAAGCAUCAUCCAAAUUAACUUAUCUUAUGCAUUCCUUAUCGAGGUUGGAGAUAGAUUUGGGAAAUUGAAUUUCUCUUCGUUUCCAAAUCUUGUCCUUCUUGAUCUUAGUCAUCGUCAACUUAGUGGAAAAAUCCUGUAUCAGAGAGGUUAUCUAUCAGCAUUGAAGCACCUUGACCUUUCCUUUUGUGGUUUUUCCGGUGAGUUACCUCCUCCUCUAGGAAACCUAACCCAAUUAGAAUUCCUUGACAUUUCCUAUAAUUAUAACAUUAACGGCUCCAUCCCUCCACAACUAGUGAAUCUAGUGAACCUUGUCAGUUUAAAUUUGAGUAGAACCGGUCUUAGUGGAAACAUUCCACCGUUCCUUGGGCUUUUGACCGACCUUAGGCAUCUACUUUUGGAUAGGUAUCAGUUUGAUGAUGGUAAGAAUACAAUCCCCCAAAAUUUGUGGAAUUUGAGGGGUCUUGAGACUUUGAGCCUAAAUGGUUGUGGAAUUGUGGGUCCAAUCCCUUCUGCUUUGGGUCAGUUAAUAAAUCUCAAAUAUUUGGGUCUAUUGGAAAACAAAAUUAAUGGAUCUAUUCCAUCUGAAGUUGGAUUCUUAUCAAACUGAUUUUUGAUCUCUUCGACAACAGACUGGUUGGUUCAAUACCUUUUUCCUUGUACCCAUUAACUAAUAUGGAAAUUUUGUCCCUUGGUAAUAACCAGCUUGAAGGUUCCAUCCCUUGGAAUAUUGAAAAUUCGAAGAACAUCAAGAUUUUAAGCAUCAUUAAUAAUAGUUUUUCUGGUCGUAUCCCCCCAGCUUUGUGUCGUUUGACAAAUUUGGAAUAUAUUGACCUUGGCAAAAAUCAAAUCAGUGGUUUAAUCCCAUCUUGUUUUGGCAAUUUAUCCAAUUCGGAUACCUUAGAACUUGAUUCAAAUCUAUUAAAAGGUCCUAUCCCUGAAGAAAUUGGUAGGCUUUUUCACCUAUCAAGUUUAAACCUCAGCUUCAAGCAACUCUCAGGUAGUGUCCGUAUCUUGUUUGCCACUAAGCUUCGAAUUAUCAUGCUGGAAUUAACUGUAACAAGAUUUCUACCGAUCCAUUUGAAGGCAAUAGUCAUCUAUCACCCUAUAUGUGUCCUUCUCCAGUAACCAACAAAGCCAACAGCAGUACAAUUCUUUACUAUAUCAACAUAUUCCUCCCUAUUGCCAUCUUCUUCACAUUCUCCAUUUUGGGAUAUUUUCUAUUUUCACGAUUUAACCUCAAGAAUAACCGUGUCGGUGUACAACCGACGAAGAAUGGGGAUUUGUGUUCCAUAUGGAACUACGAUGGAAAGAUAGCAUACGAGGAUAUUGUUGCAGCAACAGAGGAUUUCGACUUUCGAUACUGUAUAGGAGUUGGUGGUGAUGGAAGUGUUUACAGAGCACAACUACCUUGUGGUAAAGUAGUUGCCUUGAAGAAACUUCAUCGUUUAGAAGCUGAAAAUCCAGCCUUUGACAAGAGCUUCAGGAAUGAGAUCAAGUUUCUAACAGAAAUACGACAUCGAAGCAUCGUAAAGCUUCAUGGGUUUUGUCUACACCGACGGUCCAUGUUUUUGAUCUAUGAGUACAUGGAAAGAGGGAGUUUGUUCUGCAACCUAAGAGAUGAAGUGGAAGCUAUGGAAAUGGAUUGGACAAAAAGAGUGGAGAUCAUCAAGGGCAUAGCGCAUGCUUUGUCUUACUUGCACUAUGAUUGCAGCCCUCCAAUAGUUCAUCGAGACAUAUCAAGUAACAAUGUUCUUUUAAACUCGAGCUUUGAGGCCUUUGUAGCUGACUUUGGGACUGCUAAAAUGUUGGAUCUUGAAUCAUCCAAUCAGACCAUUAUUGUGGGCACAUGUGGUUAUGUAGCUCCAGGUGAUUUUCUUUGCUUCGUUUGAAGACAUUUUCUUCCGAAUUUAUAAAAUUAUUUGAAAAUAUAAAUGAUUUUCUUUUUAUCUCGUUUUUGGUAUGCAGAACUUGCCUAUACGAUGGUUGUCAGCAAAAAAUGUGAUGUCUAUAGUUUUAAAGUGGUGGCACUGGAAACGUUAUGGGAGAGCAUCCUGAAGAAGAGUUAUCAUGGUUGUCAUCACCAACUUCUUUGGUAAAUACGAGGCUGAUUGAUGUGCUAGACGACUGUUUACCACUUCCGACAAGCCAAUUAGUUGCACAAAAUCUUGUUCGCAUUGCUACUUUGGUAUUCGCUUGCCUAAAUCCAUAACCCAAGUCUCAACCAACGAUGAAAGAAGUGUGCGAAGAGUUUCUUUGUGGCCAAACAUCCUUGAAAAUUCCCCUUCGAAUGAUCUCUUUGUUACAACUUGUGAACCGUGAAAUGCAUAUUAGAGGCAGAACUGAAACUUGUAAUGUUUAAACUCCAUGCACUUGUUCUUGAUUAGAUAUUGUUUAUAUAUUGUGUUCUAUAUGAUGGAAUGAAUGGCAAUGUUCAGUAAACUUGUUUAUUCGGUUGCUUUACAGAAGAAAAAUUCUACAAUUUGAUCUAAAUAUUCAGACACCAUCCUAAUAGCUUCCUUCCAUUUCGCCCUUCUUUCAAGCAUGAUAGACCAAGUCAAAGGAUGAAUCAAAUAUAAGUAAAUUAAUUGUGAAUUAAAGCAAAAAAUAAAAUAAAAUUUGAAUAAAUAAAAUGGAUUAAUUAAGUAUGCACAAAUUUAGAAAUGCACUGUUUCUUUCAUCAAUUUGCAUAAGGUUAAAUGGUUCAGAAGAAAGCUUUCUAAAAAAGAUUACACUAAAAAUGACCAAACCAUUUUGGAAAGAGGGAACGAUGCUUAGGGGUAAUCUUUUUUAAAGCAAAGGCCACUAUUGAAGAAACUUCAUUAAUGCUUAGGGGUAAGGUCUUUUAACUUUUUUACAUUAUGUAUAAUAAUUCAGUUUGAUUUAAUUUUUCAUUUUUCUACUAAUUUUAAAUUUAGGGUUUUAGAUUUAUUUUAAUAAAAUGAUCUUUAUUUUAUAGUUUUUGGAUAUUAUUCGAUAAAUUUUCAAAGUCUUAUAUAUAUAAGGUUUAGAAUUUCCAGUCCCCCGAUGAAAGGGUUAAAAAACUAAAGCACAAAGAAGUAUUUAUAAAGUGAAACUAUGAAGAAAACAGAGUAGUCACCAAGGAUAAUAAUAUAAUAUAAUAUAAUAAUCUCUUCCAACUUCAGCUUCGAUAUAAAUGAUCUUUCAUUCCACCAACAAGCCAGGUCUCUUGGGCUAUAUUACAUGAAAUGUCGUAGAAAUCAGGGUCAUAUUUCAUCACUACUAAGCUCUCUUUCACCUUCCUGUUUUCCUUUUCCAUUAAAGACCUAAUUUUUUUCUUUUUUCCUCGUCUUUCCUCUUGCACUCUUGUUUGUCUCCUUGAUCUUCCUCGUCCUCUCCGGCCCUAUUAGCUUCUUCUAACUAGCUCUUAGCAGGAGCGGAUCGACAACGCAGAAGUAAGAAAGCAUUUGCAGGUGGGAUUGCAGCAGCUUGAUCAUCAACAUGAUCGAGGGAGCAUUUACAGCAAUCACAAUUCCUAAUAUCAAUCUGCAACCUAACUGUCAGCUUAAAGGUCUAAAGUCAAAUGCCGAGUUGGUUAUAACAUGUAAUUAAGUAAUGAAACCUGCAUUUAUAAUUUAUUGAAGGAAUCAGGCUGCCACAAUAUCUAUAAAUGAUUAAGUUCAAGCUAUACAAAUUAUAUUAAAAAUAAGAUGAUCAUUACAAAAAAAUAAAAAGGAAGGCCCUUUUCACCAACAGUAAAAUGUAAUUAAGUAAACCAUGUAUUUUUCAGUUUCUUAAUCUUAGCCUGAACUAAAUAUUGCAUUGCAAAUGACAUAAUAUGACCCAUGUCAACAAUGUAAACAGACGCACAUUAAAAUUUAAAUUUAAAUCCAUAAAACUUUAUGUACUUAUAUUCAUGCAUUUAUACGAACACAAGAAAGAUAUACAAAUUUAUAAGAACAAGCACAGUGUCAAAUCAAUAUGGUUCCUUCCCUCAAUGCAAACAUCGUGUGACAUCAACCAAUAUAAAGAAGAUAACAAAAAGUAUGCCCUAGUUUCAGCACUCUUUUAAGGCAGUUACUAAAAGUUUCUUUCAACCAAGUUAAGAAGCAUAUCAAGAAAUCAAGUUAAGGACGACUUCUAAUGAAAGUUGACAAGAAAUUUUCCAGAGAUGAAUGCACUAUCCACAACCCGUUCUAACAAUUUGAUCUUCGAUCUUACCUUCUAUUAUAAGUGUGAGUAGCCUUUGUUUGUGGCAAUUUCUGAUUGGUUCCAGUAUUCAUUAAUAAGAAAGAUUUUCAUUUCUUAAAUAACGUAUACAUCCUGAACCCAUUCUAUAUCAACAACAACAAUAAUACACACGAUAGAGUGAUAGAGUACAAAUUUUCGUACAAGAUUUCACACAUACAAGAAAAACAAAAUAAGUGAAAUAAUUCCAUCUAAAAUGAAAUUAAUCAAAGAAAGCCAAAACUGAUGUAGUAGAACAGAUGACUGAGAAUGUAAAAUUUUCUUAUAUUAGUUCCAUUUUUUUUUUAAAAAAAAGAGAGAUUGCAAAGUAAAUUAAGAAAAUUCUGUAAUACCCGCAAAGGGUUUGUGAACAAACAAGUUAACUCAGAUAGAAAAAAAUUAGAUUGAGAAACCAAUUAUUCAACCAUGAAUGUAACACCCUAAACCCAGCAUGGACGAAAGUCUAAGUUUAGGAAGUUACCAUGUCUCACCUAUGCGCAGUCAUUCUUAAAGCAAAUCAUUCUUCAUAAUUAAGUUAUAAAAACAUCCAGUAUCCAUAACAUAAUCAAAUUUUAAAGGAUUGAAAUACGAAUUCUAGCUAUAGAUUCACACACAUAUAGAUAUAAUAUGUCCUACAAAUGACCAAGUCCCUCCGCGCGCCAGCCGCUUAAUCCUAUGGGUUCCCUGAAAUUCAUACGAAUAAUUAGAGUGUUGCAGUAAAGAGUAAAACAUAGUUGAGCUAUACUAUAUAAUGAUGUAUAUAUAUUUGAACGGCAUUGAGUGUUUAAGUACAGCUUGAUAUCAUCAUUUUAGUAACAUCCUAAUGCAAAUUCAAAUAUAUAUAAUAGACUGACAAGUCAACUUGAUACAGAUAUAGACAUAAAUCUCAUAGGCCAACCGAUACACACCAUCUCCAUGUUUACUUCCUCCCCCUUUACACACCAAUAGGUAUAUAGCACCUAUCCAUCCCUAUACACCUCAUAGUGUCGAUAUGACACGUUGCAAUGUUUAUAGUCUCAGUGCCAGAAUAACAAAAUAUACAGGUGGUUUGACCACCGAUUCAAAAUAGAACUCUUCCUCCACAUCACAAUCUCCUUACAUGUAGUUUCAAAACAAAUACUGAUCACAUACAUAACACAUUAGUUAAACAAUCAAUCUAUAAUAUACAAAUACUGAUCUUAGUAAUAACUAUUUCAUACCAAUAUGCAAAAUCACUUAACAACGAUGAUAAUUAGACUUAUUCAAUAAGUGAAGUUCAAAUGAUGGCUUAUCCCGCCUUACACGUCCACUACCGCACUAACAGAGGUUCAGAAUUCAAGAUCAUACACCCACAUGGCCUGGCACACUCCAGUGUGCCUUGCCUAUGUGUGUCACACGGCCUGAACACCGGCCCGUGUGUCUCACCCGAUUGCCUCUAAUAGAAACUUAGUGAAUUACACGGCUAGCACAUACGCCCGUGUGGCCACUUGUGUGACUCCAGCACGAACUCAGUGAGUUACACGGCCUAGAUACACACCCAUGUGUCUCACCCGUGUGACUCUUGUACUUUAUUACCCACACAUACGGCCAGGCACACGCCUGUGUAAGUUGCCCGUGUGUCUACAAUUCGAAAUCAGGGAGUUACAAGGCCAACCACACGGCUUCCCACAUGGUCGUAUGGCACACACGGCCAGGACACAUACCAAUGUGGCCACCCAUGUUCCGUUUACAAUCGUUGAUUCUGGCAAAGAAUAACGCAAAAAAGAGGGUUUUCGGUACCCACCUGUUACACGAUGUUGUAGAAGCACCACAAUACAAAAUCCAAGCCUAAAACAAGUUUCAAACUUCCCAUUUCAAUAAGAAAUUCAUAAAUGAAAUUAACAACAAUCAAUUUCCGUCGAAAUCUUCCACUCACUACACAAAAUGAAAGGAAGUUAUUACCGUGAAUUCCUCGUCCCCGUUUGGUUCCUAAAUAAGGUGAAAAGUGUUAGGCAUCUCUUGAGUCUCCCCUGUUAAACUCUCAACUACUGAAAGAAAUCAUUCUUUUCCAUAUGCUCAUAACAUUGAUUACAGGGGUAUUUAAUGCAUGCAGUACAUGCAACCUCAUCAGUAACUACUAACAGAAACCUUAACAACUUUCUAACUAAUAACAGAAACUGUUACUCCUAACAUGCCCCUUACUUAUCAACUCUUCUUCUCAUCAAAAACUUCUUGACUUGUAUCAGUAACACAAAGUAGAUCUCGAAACUUAGUGAAAAUUCCCACUGGCAAAGGUUUUGUCAAAACAUCGGCAAUUUGGUCUGAUCCCGAAACAUGGCCAACUUGAAGUACUCCAUUUGUAACUUUUUCCCUAACGAAGAACAAAUCCAUCUCUACGUGCUUGAAUUUUGAAUGUAAAACCGGGUUCCCUGCUACUGCAACAGCAGCUGAACUAUCACACCAUAUCAAUGCUUUCUUUGGAACUGGAACAUGCAACUUAGUUAGUAAUGAGCGAAUCCAAACCAAUUCUGCAGCGAGAUGAGCAACACUUCUAUAUUCUGCCUCUGCUGUUGACCUAGAGAUCACUUGCUGCUUCCUUGAGCUCCAGGAGAUCGGGUUCCCUCCAAGAAACACGCAAAAUCCUGAAGUGGACCGUCGAUCAUCUACAUCCGAACCCCAACUAGCAUCCGAGUAUCCUUCAAGCAAAAACUUCGACGAACGAACAAACUUCAACCCGUAAUUCAGUGUGCCUUGUAGAUAUCUUAAGAUUCUUUUCACAGCUUUGAAAUGCAAAUCCGAAGGUUUAUGCAUAAAUUGACAAACUUUGUUAACAGCAUAUGCUAUGUCGGGUCUAGUAAUUACCACAUAUUGUAAAGCACCAACGAUACUUCGAUAAUGACUUUCAUCUUCAACAGGACUCCCAGUAUUAGCAGAAAGAUGACCGGUGGUGACCAUUGGUGUAGGUAAACUAUUUGACUUCUCCAUAGAUGCACGUUGAAGAAGAUCCAGAAUGUAUUUUCUUUGUGUGAGAAGCAGCCCUUGUGUAGUGUACUUGACUUCAAUUCCAAGAAAGUAACUUAACUUCCCCAGAUCUUUUAACGAAAACCUGCCAUUUAACUGAGUAACGAAAUCGCCUAUGAACACAGCAUCAUUCCCAAUAAUGAUAAUGUCAUCAACAUAUAUCAACACAUAAAUCAACUGGGACUUGGUUUGAAAAAUGAACAGGGAAUUAUCGGCUUUUGAAACCUCAAACUUCAUGGACACCAAUAAUUCUCGCAACUUAUUGAACCACGCCCGUGGUGCUUGUUUGAGACCGUACAAGGCUUUUCGAAGCUUGCAAACUAGCUUCUCACCAUUUGCCCCUUGCUUUUCGAACCCUGGAGGCUGCACCAUGUAGAUAUCUUCACUCAACUCCCUAUUUAAAAAAGCAUUAUUUACGUCUACCUGUCGAAGUGGCCAGUUAGAUGACAUAGCUAAGGCAAGAACAACCCGAAUUGUAGUUGGCUUAACAACCAGGCUAAACGUUUCUUGAAAGUCAAUACCAGCUUCUUGCAAGUAACCCUUAACCACAAGCCUGCCCUUGUAUCGAGCAAUAGAUCCGUCUGCAUGCUUUUUCAGUUUAAAAAUCCAUUUACAACCAACAGCUCGUCGUCCUUCAGGUAGUGGCAUGAGAUCCCAGGUUUGGUUAGCUAGCAAAGCAUCAUAUUCCGCUCUAGCAGCGUCUGUCCACGCCGGGCUUUGAAACGCUUCACUUAUCGUCAAAGGCUCCUUUUUAGCCAAUACCGAAGCUAAAACUUUCGGUUUAAAAAUUCCAUUUUUUGAACGGGUCGGCAUGGGGUGCAUACUAACAUUAAAUGGAGCUUCAAUUUGACAUUCACUCUGUCCAUGCGUCAAAGAAGUUUCUGACCGACACUCAUUUGGACCACAUAAUGGAGAAACUUCUGUGGGAAGAGACGAGCUGGAACGAGAGGGAGUAUGAUGUGAUGGAACUGACGAACAUGCCAUUGGAGAUGUCCUAACCAAUCGUGUGUCUGCUUGUGUUAAACCUGUUUCAGAAAAAUUAUUACACACAAUAAUAGGGAGCAUGGUCUGCUGUUUACAAGAUUCCUUCAUGACAUUGUUGCGGAACUUUGAACAAAAACCGCCAUGAAACGGAAACCUUUCCUCAUCAAACCGAACGUGCCGAGAAAGAUAGACCCUACCAUCAUCAGCAAGACACCGAAACCCUUUUAUAUUCGGGGUACUCCCAAGAAAAACACAAACUUUUGACCUGUACUGUAGCUUGUAUUGCUGAAAAGGUCUCAAAUUAGGAUAGCAAGCACAGCCAAACACCCAAAGAGUAGUAUAGUCAGGUUUGUUACCAUGAAGUUUCUCAUACGGACUCAUUUGAUGUAAAAUUAGAGUAGGCAGUCUAUUUACUAAAUAAACAGCAUGUGCAAAAGCAUAAUACCAGAACUUCAAUGGUACACCAGAUUGAGCAAGAAGAGAUAAUCCCAUAUCAACAAUUUGUCUAUGCUUCCUCUCAGCAACUCCGUUUUGCUCGGAGGUGUAUGGACAAGUAACCCUAUGUUGAAUACCCAGACGAGAAAACUCUUUUGCCAAAACACAAUAUUCUCCCUCACCAUCUGUUUGUAACAUCUUGAUGGGACAACCAAAUUGAGUUUUUACCAUCUGAUGAAAAUUAGCAAAACAAGAAGCAACCUCAGAUUUAUUUUUAAGAAAGUAGAUCCAAGUAUAUCUACUGUACAUGUCAACAAAGGACACGUAAUAGCAAAACCCAUUGGAAGGCACAUGAGCUGGCCCCCAUAUAUCAGAAACUAAAGCUCAAAAGGAAUCUUGUACACUGUAGUGGAAGCAGGAAAAGGAAGCUUUUGAGCCUUGCCCAUCUGGCAGGCCGUACAUAUAGUAGGUAAACUAUUCUGUACAAACGAGACUUUACAAGAUUUUAAAACUUGAGACAAGACAUUAGAGCACGGAUGCCCAAGUCUGUUGUGCCAUAAAACUGCAGACGAAAGUUGGGCACUGUUUAUUGAGCACGGACUAGGCUUCGAAAGAAAACUAUGACUAUGGAGAGUAGACUUGGACAGCUGAAAAUGAUAGAGACCUUCAUGUAUGUGGCCCUCGAGAAGGAUCUUCCCUGUCUAAAUAUCCUUCACAAAACAGAGAAAAGGAUGAAACUAAAAAAAAAACACCGUUAUCUUUUGCAAAUUGUCCCACAGACAACAAAUUUUUGCACACUGUAGGAACAUGUAACACACGUUGAAGAUGAAGAAGUCUAGAGCCAGCCAGAAUAUUAGAAGACCCUAUAUUAGCUAUAGGUGCUGACUUACCAUUGCCCAUAACAACUUGACCUACACCUGUAUAAGGAGUUACUGACAUAAGAGCGGAUCUGUCAGGUGUAACAUGAUUUGUUGCACCGGAGUCUGGAUACCAGGUCUGAUCAGCUGAUGAUGAUGAUGGAGUUGACAGUCGAGAGCACGAACCAGAACAAUUAAGUACAGAAGAGCAUGCCGUGGAAGAAGGAGCAAACUCGUGCACUUGAUGAAAAUUGACUGAUGUGUUUUGUCCAAAAUAAUUCUCAUCAAAUCGAUGAUAACAAUUUUGUACAAUAUGACCAACCUUACCACAAAGUUGACACUGUGGUCUAGAACGAGACCAUCCUCGACCAGUGCCUCUAGUUCUGCCACGUAACCAACUGCGAUUCGAACCACGAAACCCUUGUUUUGAGUCCUGAGCAUAAGAAGGUUUCGAACUAUCUGCACCAUCUUGAUAUUUAGUUAAAUUUGCCUGCAAAGGAGUUUCUGACAAAACAGCCAACUGUCUAGCCUCAAAAUCAAGAAGCAUAUCAGUCAACAAAUCCAAUGAAACUGAAGCAGCAGACGCAAAAACACGAAUAGACUCAUAUUCAAUGGGAAGCCCAGAUAGAAUAACACUAACUUGCUCUUUUUCCGUAACAUCACUGCCAAUAGCUGUUAAGCUAUCAGUAAGAGUCUUGACCUUAUGCAAAUAUUCUUUAACGUUUAAACUACCUUUCUUGAUCGAGUAUAAUGCAUGACGCAUACUCGAGAUCUUAAUAUUCGACGUAGCGCCAAAUCUUCUUUCAAUGGUGUUCCAAAUAUCAAGACUCGUUUUAGCUGCAGUUAGAUGAACCAAAACUUCAUCCGUGACCGUCGAAACAAGCCAAGCAGCAAGAAACUUAUCCUGUUUCUUAUGCACAAGAAAGCAAGGAUUAUCAACAACACGACCAUCAGCCUUUACAAGAACAGCAGGAGGAACAGAAAUCGUGCCCAAAACAAAGCCUUCAAGCCCAUAUCCUUCAAGAAUCAGUAACAACUGAUGUUUCCACAGCAAGAAAUUAUGUUCUGCAAGUUUGACCGUAUCAUGCUUGGUAAAAUAUUGAACGGUUGAAGAACCACCACUACCAAGAUCCUGCGACUGGGCUGCUCCACCAAUAUUUGAAGAAUUAUGCGGAGUAUCUGCACUUGGUUCCAUGAAGAAAAAAAAAACAACAAAACUAUUUGAUUUAAAAAAUUUUGGCUCUUGAUACCAUGUUAAACUCUCAACUACUGAAAGAAAUCAUUCUUUUCCAUAUGCUCAUAACGUUGAUUACAGGGGUAUUUAAUGCAUGCAGUACAUGCAACCUCAUCAGUAACUACUAACAGAAACCUUAACAACUUUCUAACUAAUAACAAAAACUGUUACUCCUAACAUCCCCUAAUGUAUGAAAACACAAUGAACAAUAAAGUCAUCACACACUUCAGAAUUUUGAAGGUUUUUACCCAAUUCGCACAACAACACUUUAAAAUAGAAAUAAUUUACUCGAUCACCUUAAAACGUACCAGAGUAAGCAAUAUUACAACCCCAAUGAAGCAAUUAUGCAAGACGAACCAAACUAAAGAAGUUCUAGAGAAAUUGUAUACUAAACCGAAGCAAAAAUAAGAAAAAGAAAAAAAAUUGAAAAUGGAAGGAAAAAAAGAACGUCUAACUAUCACUAGAGGGAAGAAGUCUUUUAAAAUUUAGAUCAGUUUUAUGAGAAAGUGCAAAACAUAAAUCCUCGUUGCAUACAAUGAGACUCAAACACGGGACCAAACAUAAAGCAAAUGUUUAAUUAGUGAAUCAGCAGGCUCAUUCUUGACACAAAAUGAUAAUAGAAUUAAACUUAAAUCAGGAAUUCUAAAUCAAGGAUUUUAAUAAAGAAAUGAACAAGAUUUCAAAAUUCAUGUGACUCGGACCUCAUAUCUCAAGUAAACAAACAGAACAAACAACCACAGAAGCAGACACAUAUCCAUUAACACAUCCUAUAAAUAAAACUCAGAUUUUAGGGCGUUGCAUUGAAAGAACUGUAAAAUACAAUGAUUAGGAACAAAAACGAUUACCCUCUUUUUCUUUGUCGGCAACCACUUGAUUUUAAGUCUUUGAACAUAAAUUUGUCGGCAAAGAAGACAUACUUGGACCUAAAUCCAUCUUUUGUAUUUCUACGUUGAAUAAAAAAUCCAAUCAAUUGAUGAAACAAUCAUUUGAUUUCUAGUAUUUUGAUUCAAUAAAGAUAUAAUAGUUUUUUCAAUCAAAUGAAAAAGAAAACUAAAAAAAAAAAGAGGAGAUGAACGGUUUUUUCAGCUAAGGUUUAGGGUUUAAAAAUUUUAAUUAAUAAAUUUAUUUAAUUAAAAAUCUAUUCACAUCCCAUUUAGAAAUCCAAGUUGGAAAUUAAAAUCUAGUUGGACUGCCACGUAGGAUUACCGUGAGGGAGAUAACAGAACUUAAUGGAAGAGUGAUCACUUCAUAACAAUAUAAUAACAUAAGUGACUAAAAUGUAACCUGAGGCAAAUAAAAGUGAUUUUUUUUAUAGUUUACCCUUAUUUUUAUACUAAUUUUAAGUUUAGGGUUUUGGACUUAUUUUAAUAAAAUGAACUUUGUUUAAUGGUUUUUGGACAUUAUUCGGUAAGUUUUCAAAGUCUUUUAUAUAAGGCGUAAUAAUAAAUUUAACCCUUGAUGUUUAUAUCUUUUGUUAAUUUGGCUCUUAUUCUUUUUUUUUAAUUUGACUCUCAACCUUCUAAAAAGAGUCAAAUUUAACCAUUAACAUUUCAAAAAGAAUCGAAAUGAUUUUUUAAAUAAAAAUAUUAACUAAAAUGUUAUUUUUUUAAUAUGGAAGCCCACGUAGCAUUCCACAUGAACUUCAUAGUAUUUUUUGAACUUUUAUGAACUUUUUUGAAUUUUUUAAGUUUUUUUUCAACACUUUUAUAAUUUUUAAAUUAUCUAUAGAAGUGACAUAUAAGAUAAAUAAUGUCAUAUCAGUAUAAAGUACACAUGGAUUGACACGCAGAGUGUUACACCAACAUCACUAAAAAAUUAAUGUUUAUUUAGUAUUUUGUUAAAAAAAAGUUUUUUUGAUUCUUUUAGAAAGAUUAAUUUUAAGGGUCAAAUUGACUACAUAUAAUAUAAUUGUUGAGGAUUAAAUUUUUCAUUUUAUCUUUCUAUAAAUAUUUUCCCAAAAAAAUUAAAUUUUCAAGUACAUCACUUACAAAGUGUUUUUUUUAUAGAUUUUUUAAAUUUAUUUCACUAUUUAAAAAUAAAAUAUUUAUUUUACAUAAUAUAGAAUUAUAAUUAAUAAUAAAUUAAACAAGAAAUAAAAUUCGAUUCAAAUAAUCGUGAUUUUUUAACUUGUGCCAAAAAAUAAUCUAAACAUCAUGGUUGAAAUCAAAUUUUCAAUUUCUUAAUAUUUUUUCUUUCAAAACCAUAACAAUGAUAGCUAGUCAUGGUGGUCGUCCUUAGUUUUCUUUUUUUAAAAUAAUAAUAAUAAUAAUAAUAAUAAUAAUAAUAAUAAUAAUAAUAAUAAUAAUUGUAAUACUUAAAUUUUACCCGGCCCCAAAUAAAUAAAAUAAAUACAGAGCUUGAUUUGCAAACAGGCCAUAAGGGCCCAAAACCCAAAAUACAACAGGGGCCCAAAGCUCAAUGGCCCAAAUCAUAUGCAGAAACCCUAGGGUUUCUGAAGAAGACCUUUGCGCCGCAGCCGCAGCCAUCACCAAGCUGAAUCUUCACGAUCUUCACCUGCAAACACAAGAAAGGAAAGAAAAUCAAAUCAAAUCAAAUCGAAUCAAAUCAAGCAAAUUUCUUACUUCUAUUUGUUGUAUUUUCAUUCGGCUAUAUAAAGCCAUAGACAAUAUUGUAAAGGGGCCGGAUUUUUAAAAAUAAAAAAUACAAAUUACAACUUUCGCAAUAUCAAGGGCAAAAAAAUCGAAACAAAGGUUGAUACUUGCAAUUUUUAAUAAUUUUCUAUUGUUACAUAUAUAUUUUUUUAUUUACAUACGAAUAAAAUAGAGAAGAGAAGGAAAGAAACAACCUGCGUUUGGAGCCUAAACCGUCGUGUGCCUCCGAGGUAGCCGUCUCCGAGGAAAGACGGUCGGAAACCGAAAGGUUUCUCGGGUUUUUGAGGCAUCUCCGCUUUUAUUUUGAGGGUUUUGAGCCCGGAUCUAAGCUCAGGGGGUUAAGAAGGUUGAAAAGGAAAAUUUUUUACUUUUUCCGGCCACCGCGGACGGUGGUGCCGGCGCCGGAGAUCAGCGGCCGGCGUGGUGGCCGUUGACCGGCCGAUGACCAUCCGAUGAUCGGCCCAUGGCCGGAGGACAGAAAGGUUGAGAGAGUUUUUUUUAAAAAGUUUUUUUGUUUUUUUUAAAUGUUUUGAAAUGAAAUUUUUGUUUUAUUUUUGGCUUAAAUAGCCAAUUGAAAACGGCGCCGUUUUGAGGGGAGGAUCCGUGCGUCGACCCGACCCGGACCCAGGAUCACCGCGUUUUUAUGCGGAGGGGAAAAUUGCAUUUUUAGCCCCUCCGCCUUUUUAUGUUUUACAAUUAGGUUUAUUUAAUUUUUUUAAAUUAGCCCUUUAAUUCGUUUUCGAUUUCAAUCUAACCCUGCUUGAACGACACUGUUCUGAGGAGAAGGGUAAAUUGCCUUUCUAGCCCCUCUGAGUUAUCAGCGUGUUCAAUAGGAUCUUUCAAUUUCUAUUUAUUUACAGAUUUGUUUCAGAAUUUUUAUUUACAGUUCAAAUUAGCCUUUUUUUUUCUUUCAUUUUCUAUAUUUUCUAUUUUUUAUAUUCUUUUUUCAUAUUAAUUUGUUUUAAUAUAUAUAAUAUAUUUUUACAUACGCACAUUUAUUUUUGUAGAAUUGUAUAAUUAUUUGUUUAUUUAUUUAUUUAUAUGUAAUUAUUCUUUAUAACCUAUAUGUAUAUAUUUAUUUUAGUACAUAUAAAUAUGCAUAUAUAUUAAUAUUUUUAAUCAAUAUAUAUAUGAAUAUAUAUUUAUUUUUUUAAAAAAUGAAAAUAUAUAUUUUUUAUACACUUUAUAAUUUAUAUUUUUCCUUUUAUUUUCACAAAUGCAUCAUAUAUGUAUAAGUUUCGUAUCCCAAAAUUUAAGUUGUAUGUAUAUUUUUAAUCUUCAUAAUUUCUAUGUGUAUAUUAUAUGUUUUCUAAUUUUUAUUUAUUUUGAUUUCCUUGUUUGUGAUUUAAUUGUGUUUGUAUUUAAUAUUUUGCAUGACAUGGAUUAUUGCUUUAUAUUUAAUUUAUUAUUUGUUUAUAUUAUUUUUAUGCUAUUAAUGUAUUUAUUAUUGUUGAAUUUAUUAUUAUAGCAUUUGUAUGUAAUAGAACAUGACAUCAUCUUUUACUCGAUUUUAAAGUUACAAAAUUGAGAUAGUGCUUGGAUUGAGGAUUUUCAAGGAAAUUGAGCCCUAACGUAUUGAGUUCCGAUUUUCUUUGUUAAGUUUAAGAAUCGAGCAUUUCUCUUUAAUAAAAAUAAGAAUUCAUUAUUGGGAAUUCAACACGUUGUGUCCUAACGUAUUGGAUGUGAUGCAUUGAUUUCUCGAAAUGAAGAUUUUUCUAAAAAAUAAUAAAGGAAAUAUUUCGAGUUUGGGAUUUUAAAGAAAUCGUGCCCUAACGUAUUGGGUGUGAUUUCUUGAAUCUUGGAUAAGUGGAUGUUCUUUUGAAGUUUUAUCGCACUUGUAUUUUGGCCCAAUUCAUUUUGGAGGAAAUUAGAAUGUUGUGCCCUAACGCAUUGGGUGUGGCAUUUUUGCUUCUCUAAAUGGAGAAAGGUCUUAAUACGCAACAUUUUAAGUUUUUUUAAAGAUUAUAUUUUUUUAAAUUUUCGACCUUAAGACAUUAAUUGGUUAAUUAGGUACCAAUUUUGGGCGUUAUGAGGGUGCUAAUCCUUCCUCAUAUGUAACUGACUCCCGGACCUGUUUUUCUAAAAUUCGCAGACCAAAAUCAUUUUAGGUGACCCAAUCACACCUUAAUAAAAGAUUGGUGGCGACUCCCAAUUUUCAUUUUUUUAAAGUCGACAACCUAAAAUAAAAUUUUUUAUUUUUCAAAAAAAUGGUUUCGACAGCUUGGCGACUCCGCUGGGGACUUUUUUUUUAAAUAAGAGAGUCAAGCCACAAAGUUGAUUAAUUUUUGUCUUAUGGUCGAGAAAAUAUUUUUAAAAAACUCAUGACAUCCUUUUUGCAUUCAUUAUCUUCUUGUUUAAAUAUUGUUUGCAUUAUACAUUUCAUGAGUGGAACAAUUUUACCCUUUUCAGUGGGAGUGAGAAGCUAUGCCUUCGUGAGGUUUUCACCUCCGUAUAGGAUAGUGGAUCGCUUUCGGGAUACAUCGGUACUUAUGCCUUCGUGAGAUUUUCAUCUCCGUAUAGUCAUAGGGAAAAUGUGUCCCCCUGAACUGAACUCGGUCCAUAUGAGCCUAUAAUGGGUGAGGAUUGAGGAAUCUGCUGGUUCGGGUACCUUUACUUUAGAACCGAACCGCAUAUAAUGAGCCUUAGGAGCUUACCUUAGUUAGAACCGCACUAAACCCUGGUAGAUAUCCGAAUAGAUGUUUUAUUAUUUCUUGAUUGUUUUCUAUGUUUAUAUAUAUUACUGACCUUUUGUGUUUUAUUUUGAUUGCAUGACAUGGCAUUUCACUUCAUCAUAAAAGGCAUCAGUUUAGAUUUGGUUGCUAGAUAGAAAGCUUAACAUGGAAAAAGGGUUUCUUGAUAAAGUGGAGGACAAUGCGCCUGUUCGAACUUGGUCUGAAACAAUGCAACAGGAAAAGGGUGAUAGUCUGGCCGAUGGGUAUGUAUCAGAAUUAUGGGAUUUUACUCGCAUCAGUGUGGCUCAAAACAAUUUGCAGGAGUUGAAAGAAAUUUGGGAUCAGUGGAAUAAUGAGAUUAGGCAGUUAUUUUACGACAACUAUGGGGACUUGCCUUAUUUGCUUGAUGUGAAGGUAGACAAACACUUGUUUCGAGCCCUCGCCCAGUUUUGGAAUCCUGCUUACAGUUGCUUCACGUUUGGGAAUGUUGAUUUGGUACCUACGAUAGAGGAGUACGUGGCAUUAUUUUGAUGUUCAAAGUUCCAAGUAGAUAGGGUCUACUCGAGAGCGGUGAAUGUGCCAACCUUUUCAAAGAAGCUGAUAGGUAUAACAGGGAUGAGUGAGCAGUGGGUCGCUGCACGAGUUAAGCAAAAGGGGGAUAGCAAGUGCAUUCUUUGGAGGAGCUUGAAGGAUGCCAUUCUCACACACCCAGACAUAAGAAAGAGGUUAGAUAUUUUUGCCUUAAGUAUAUACGGCUUGGUUGUCUUCCCUAAGGCCUUGGGGCAUGUGGAUGAAGCAGUCACCGAUUUAUUUGAUCGACUUGAUAAAAGGGUUACAUCGAUUCCGACAAUUUUGGCAGAAACCUUCAGGUUAUUGAGUGCAUGCUGAAAGAUGGGUGAGGGUAGAUUUAUCGGAUGUGCGCAGCUUCUACUUGCAUAGUUUCACAGUCACUUUUGGAAGGUGGAUAAAGUUUCGUAUCGAGUUUUCUCUAAAAAUUAUUCACCACUAAAGGAGAUAAUUGCUACACCGAGGAGAGAUGACAUUUCUGAGGAAAAGUGGAUGGCUAUUCUUCAAAAUCUUCAAGAGGAAGAUGUUGAGUGGAGAGCUCCUUGGUUACUACCAGAUGAGAUCCUAUAUAGGUGUGGAGAUUUCAAUUGGGUACCUUUAUUGGGCAUUUGGGGUGCUGUCGGAUAUGCCCCAUUAUUGGUGCUAAGGCAAUAUAGGUUGAGACAGUUUAUACUUGCGACUCAAGGGAUAGCUGAUUGUGAAUUUUCAUAUAAAGAGGAUGGUUAUAGAAAGAAGAUUCAAGAAAUGUCUAAGGCGUGGAAAUAGACUCGCUAAAUGAAGAGGUUAGCUGUAGGGCAAAUGACGACUCCUGAGUAUUAUGGAUGGUGGGCUAGGAGGAUUAAUGAUAACACACCUAAGUUAAAUCAUGAGGAUGGCCAGUCAAUAGAAGAGCAUUUGCGAGUCAUCCCUUCGGAAUUGGAAAUUGUAAGAUAAGAUUUUGAGAGGAAGAAUGCGGAUUUGGAGAAAAGAAUAGAGCAAAUGGAGGUGGAAAAGACGAACUUGAGAUUGGACAUAGACGUUCAGAAGCUUGAGAAUGAGAGGUUGAAGAAAGAGAAAAACAAGGCUGAUGAGGAACUGGGCAGUCUAAAGACGGAUUAUAAAAAGUUGUGUUUGUCAAUAAGAACUGCUGGGCUGGGAAAGACAUCAGAACAGUGGUGAGCAGAAAUCCAAGAAGAAAAGGACAAGGCAGAUAGAUGGGAACAGAGAUUUCAAGAGAUGCAAAGGCGAAAUGAGGCCUUAGAAAAGAGUUUGUCAGAAAACCAGAAGGAAAAGGGCGAGUUAAAAGAAAAGGUGAUUGUGUUGGAAAGGUCUCUUCGUCAGUUUCGAAAUCGAAAUUCUACGAUAGAGUUGAAAGCAAGCUUGAGCAAGAUUGACGAAAUGAAGGGAAGAAUCGAAGAGCUAGAAACGGUGCUGCAAAAUUGUGAGAUUCAGAUCAAUCACUUGAAGGCAAAUGAAAGUCGAAAUAAUGAACAGCUUCACCACUUUCAGAGUCAAGUUAGAAGCAGAGAUCAUCUUAUCGAGGAAGCUGUGGUCCAGAUUCGAGAAGUAGCUGAUCAUAUGCAGACUUUAGCAGUACAGGCUGACAUGCUGAGUGUGAAGUAUGAAUUAGAAUCGGAUCGGGGGCAAGAAUUAGCUUUGUUACUUAGGAAGAUUAGAGUUCUGGGUACUAAGGCAAAGUCUUACUUGUAAUUCGCUUUAUGUAAAGAAAUUUGCUUUCUAGUAAGGUUUUCUUAUAUUGAAUUGAAUCAAAAUUGACGUCUUUUUGCAUUAAUGCAUUGCAUUACUUCAUAUGCAUUUAAAAAACAUUAAAAGAUUCUAAUUAAUUUAAGUCAUUCCUCAGUUAAUCUGGAAACCAAUCAACCUACCAAACAUCGCUACGGUACUCGAUCCAAAACUAGAGACAUGGACCAAAGGCUAGAACAGUUCCAGAAGGAAAUGCAAGAGCAAAUGAGUGAGUAACUAGAGAAAAUUCAACAAAAUAUGAUGGAAAAAAUAAUGGAAUCUCAGGGGAGUAUGAUGGCUAAGUUGACUUAGUUAUUGACUGGAGGAGUUGAUAAAGGGAAGGGCUUGGUGCUCAACAAUGAAGAAGGAGACAACGAGGAACCUGUUUAUUCCUCAGGACUUACUUCUCAACAAGCGGGGAUAUAUCCGCGCAAAUCCUCCGUUACUAUCAAGCCUCAUGACGGUUCUGAAACACCGAUAAACUUUCAAGUUAGAGACAAUCUGGCUAAUCCUGUUAUCCCUAACUUUGGCGAGACAAUCGAGAAAAUAAAUGGGGAAUUGCCGAAACAGCUCGAGGAAAAGUAUAAAUGGCUGGAGGAAAAACUUAGAGCAAUAGAAGGUACUGAGAGCUACCAUGGAAUUGAUGCUAGAGAAUUGAGCUUGGUUCCAGGAUUGAUACUUCAUCACAAAUUCAAAAUGUCAGAGUUCGAGAAGUACAACGGGACUAGUAGCCCCGAAGCCCAUAUUACUAUGUUCUGCAGAAGGAUGACUGGGCAUGUUAAUAAUGACCAGUUGCUGAUACAUUGCUUCCAGGACAGUCUCACAGGGGCUGCAUCCAAAUGAUACAAUCAACUGAGCCGUACUCAGAUUAAUUUAUGGAGAGAUCUAGCACAGGCAUUCUUAAAACAGUACAGCCAUGUGACUGACAUGGUACCUGAUAGAAUUACUCUGCAAAACAUGGAGAAGAAGCCUGGUGAAAGUUUCAGGCAGUACGCACAGAGAUGGAGGGAGGUUGCUGUCCAAGUUCAGCCAUCUCUUCUAGAAAGAGAGAUGACGAUGCUUUUCGUCAACACAUUGAAGGCACCAUUUAUUACACAUAUGUUAGGAAGCGCUACAAAAAGUUUUUCCGACAUAGUCAUGAAUGGAGAGAUGAUAGAAAACGCUAUCAGAAGUGGGAAAAUAGAUGCUGGAGAAAGUAGCAGAAGGGCAGCCUCAAGGAAGAAAGAGAACGAGGUUAAUAACACAAGUUCAUAUUUGAAGACAGUUACCGUGAAUCAGCUAGAAAAAGUGGCUGUUAAUCAGUAAGGAUCAUCAAAGCAGAGAUCUGACACAAGACAAAACACAAAGAAGCUUCAAUUUACGCCAAUCCCAAUGUCGUAUAGGGAGUUAUAUCAGAAUAUAUUCAAUGCACACGUGGUUGACCCUCAUCACUUAAAACCCCUGCAACCUCCAUAUCCCAAGUGGUACGAUGCGAAUGCACAGUGCGAUUAUCACGCAGGAAUUGUGGGGCAUUCUAUAGAACAUUGUACGACAUUCAAGAAGCUGGUAGAAAGGCUUAUAAGUAUGGGCGUAGUUAAAUUGGAUGAUUCGCCUAGUACAGAGAAUCCGUUACCUAAUCAUAAUGAUAAUGGAGUGAACAUGAUAGGUAGGAGCGUGGGUAGAAAGAUCAAGGAAGACAUAUUGGAGGUGAAUAUUCCUUUAAGGUGGGUCUAGAAAAAAAUGGUAGGAAGGGGAUUGAUCGUCUCAAGUUCAGAGAGAAGCUUUAAAAGGGUGGAAAAUUACUGUGAGUUCCAUCACGAGGAAGGACAUGAAAUCUAAGAAUGCGUAGAAUUCAGAGCUUUGGUUCAAGACCUGAUGGAUAACAAGGAGAUGGAAUUUUAUGAAGAAGUUAGGGAAGAGGGGAGCAUUUGCACAUCAGAGUCUUCGAAGGUUCCAAGAGUAGCGCAACCGGUUGUCAUCAUCUCGCGGCCCAAGAAGGAGAAGGUGAAAACACCAGUAAUACCAAGGAUUGUAAUAAAGAAGCCUGCAACCUUUCCUUACCAAGAUAGUAAGAAAGUUUCAUGGAGCUACGAGUGUAAUACAACUGUCCCAGGAAAAGAGACUACAAAGAGCCAGUAUGUGAGUACCAAUCCCGAACCUAUGAAAAGGGCCCUAAUAGGAGAGGAGAGAAGGAAGAUAGUUGAGCCAGUGAAGGAGGAAAAAGCUGUGGAAUUCCUCAAGCUCUUGAAGCACAGCGAGUAUAAUGUUGUUGAGCAGUUGCAUAAACAACCGACUCGCAUAUCUGCAUUGACCAUGCUCUUGAACUCUGAAGUACAUCGAAAUGUGUUGAUGAAGAUGCUAAAUGAGACCUAUGUGUCCAAGGAUAUUUCUGUCAGUAAGCUAGAUCGGCUGGUCAAUAAUAUUAGUGCUGAUAAUUUCAUAUUUUUCAAUGAUGAUGAGAUACCUCCUGGGGGCAUGGGAUCUACCAAAGCUUUGCAUAUUACUGUACGAUGCAAUGGGCAUAUUUUUCCAGGAGUAUUGAUUGACAAUUGAUCAGUUUUGAACGUACUGCCAUUAGUCACACUUAACAGGUUGCCCAUAGAUAGUUCACAUAUGAAAACGUGUCAAAAUAUAGUGAGGGCGUUUGACGGUAUAGAAAGGAAGGUUAUGGGAAGAAUUGAGAUACCCCUACUAAUUGGCCAAACCGUCUAUGAGGUAGAUUUUAUUGUGAUGGACAUCAAACCUUCCUAUAAUUGUUUAUUAGGAAGGCCAUGGAUCUAUUCGAUAGGGGCAGUACCGUCAUCAUUACAUCAGAUGUUGAAGAUAGUGUCAGAUGGUCGGCUAGUGACAAUAAAAGCUGAAGAGAAUAUAAUAUCGGCUGUAUCCAAUGAGACGCCAUACGUAGAAACCAAUGACGAGUCAGUAGAAUGCUCAUUUCGAUCCUUGGAGUUUGUAAAUGUGACAUUUAUUCCUGAAGGGAGUAAAAUUUUGGUGCCAAAAUUAUCCAAAACUACUGAGAUGGGUUUACAGUUGUUGGUGGGAAAAGGAGCUUUACCCGGAAGAGAGCUAGGGAGAUAUCUUCAAGGGAGGAUUGAGGUUCCAGUACUGAAAGAAAAGCAGGAUCACUUUGGCUUAGGAUACAAGCCAGAUAAGGGACAGAGAAAGAAAGAAAUAGAAAAAAGGCAGGAAAAGAGAAGAGCACGCUUAAAUGGGGAUGAAGCUAGGUGGGAGCCGAUGAUAAUUCCCCACAUAUCCAAAACUUUCAUAUCUGGAGGAGUUAUUCAUCAGGAGAGUAGGAAAUCAGUUGAGGAAAACAUUGAGGAGACGUUGGGAAAUAUGCACAUUAAUGCCAUCUAUGAGCAUGAGAAUGAAGAGAGAAGUUGGUUAGACAUUCGUCCUUAUGAGCCUGGGAGUGUUCUAGACAAUUGGACUGCGGAAGAAAUACCUAAAGUCUUUAGAACUGUCUCAGAGUAAUAUUCAGAACAAACUUGUUAUUUUAGCCUAGAAAUAACAAGAAUUCUUUUGUGAAAUAGGCUUAUGUUUAAAAAUCAUUAUUUUAAUAAAAUACAGCUUUGCAAUUGUUUCAAGUAAAUAUUCGUUAUUGUUUCGAGUAACUAUUCUUUCCUUCUUUCCAUACGCCUAAGUAUAUUCUUUCAUUACAUAAAUAAUUGUACAUAAAUUCAUAUAUUCUUUUGUAACCAUAAUAGGUCUCUGUGUAUCAAUGACGUGAAUGACGCUGCUACGAGCUCAGAGUGCCCUUUUGAACGAAAUGUGUGUUUAGAGGGAUCGCAGGAAUUUGAAGGUGAAGAAGAUAGUAGUUUAUCUUUGGACUUAUUAAGGAUGGUAGAACAAGAGGAAAAGCAAAUCCUACCUCACAAAGAAUCAGUAGAAAUUGUGAGCUUAGAGGAAGGAAAAGAGGUGAAAAUUGGAACUGAGAUUUCUGCAAAGACAAGACGAGACCUCAUUGAGCUACUCCAAAAAUUUAAAGAUGUCUUCGCAUGGUCCUAUCAAGAUAUGCCCGGAUUGAGUGCUAACAUUGUAGUGCAUCGCCUACCUAUAAAAGAGGGUUGCAAACCCGUUCAACAGAAGCUCAGAAGGAUGAGGCCUGAUAUUGUGCUCAAAAUAAAAGAGGAGGUUAAGAAACAGUUUGAUGCUGGUUUUUUACAGGAGGUCAAAUAUUCUGAGUGGUUAGCCAAUAUUGUCCCAGUCCCUAAAAAAGAUGGAAAAGUACGAAUGUGCGUCGAUUACAGGGAUUUAAACAAAGCUAGUCCAAAAGAUAAUUUUCCCUUGCCACAUAUUGAUACUUUGGUGGAUAAUACGGCAUGAUUUUCGCUAUUUUCUUUUAUGGAUGGGUUCUCAGGGUACAAUCAGAUAAAGAUGCAUCCGGAAGAUAUGGGAAAGACUACGUUCAUUACUUUAUGGGGAACGUUUUGCUAUAAGGUGAUGUCAUUCGGAUUGAAGAAUGCGGGAGCAACAUAUUAGAAAGCCAUGGUAGCCUUGUUCCAUGACAUGAUACACAAAGAAAUUGAGGUGUAUGUUGAUGAUAUGAUUGCCAAAUCCAGAACAGAGGAGGAACAUGUGCAGGUCCUGAAAAGAUUAUUAUUAAGAUUAAGGAAAUUUCAGCUCAAGCUUAAUCCGACAAAAUGCACUUUCGGAGCCAGGUCAGGGAAAUUGUUGGGCUUCAUAGUUAGUGAAAAAGGAAUUGAGAUUGAUCCGGAUAAAGUCAAGGCAAUACGAGAUUUAUUACCACCACGUACCCAGAAAGAAGUCUGGGGUUUCUUGGGAAGACUGAAUUACAUUGCUCGGUUCAUUUCACAAUUGACUGAGAAAUGUGAUCCCAUAUUUCGCCUUUUGAAGAAACAUAAUCCUGAUGUCUGGAAUGAAGAAUGUCAGAAGGCAUUCGAAAGGAUAAAGCAAUAUUUAUCCAAUACCCCAAUUCUAUCACCACCUAGCCCAAAUAGACCUUUGAUUUUGUAUUUGACGGUGUUCAACAACUCCAUGGGAUGUGUAAUGGGUCAACAUGAUGCUACAGGAAAGAAGGAAAAGGUGAUUUAUUAUCUCAGCAAGAAGUUCACUGAUUGUGAGAUGAGAUAUUCACCUAUCGAAAAAUCAUGUUGCGCCCUGAUUUGGACAACCAAGAGGUUGAGGCAAUACUAACUCUAUCAUACGACUUGGCUAAUCUCAAAAUUAGACCCUUUGAAGUAUAUGAUGGAAUCAACAGCAUUAAUGGAAGAAUGGCUAGAUGGCAAAUCCUGCUCUCUGAAUUUGAUAUCGUAUAUGUAAGUCAGAAGGCCGUCAAGGGGAAUGCGAUAGCAGAUUUCUUGGCUAGCAGAGCUCUGGAAGAUUAUGAGCCUCUGGAUUUUGAUUUCCCGAAUGAAGAUUUGAUGUAUGUGGCAAACGUUGAAAAGGAUCCCCAAGAAAAUCAUUCUUGGAAACUAAACUUUGACGGAGCGUCGAAUGCACUAGGCAAUGGGAUUGGGGCAGUCCUGGUGUCUCCGAAUGGAGAUUUUUAUCCUUUCACCAGUAAAUUAAACUUUGAUUGCACUAAUAACAUGGCUGAGUAUGAAGCUUGCAUCAUGGGUAUACGGGAAACAAUAGAACGGAAAAUCAAGACAUUAGAGGUGUACGGAGACUCAGCAUUGGUGAUAUACCAGCUAAGAGGGGAAUGGGAGACAAGAGAUCCUAAAUUGAUCCGUUACUGAAGUCUGGUUUUGGGAUUGAUUGAAGAGUUUGACAACAUUACCUUCUGUUAUUUCCCACGAGAAGAAAAUCAGAUGGCUGAUGCUCUUGCUACUUUAGUUUCCAUGAUUAAAGUGAAUUAGUUGGAGGACAUGAAGCCUAUUCAAAUUAGUAUUUAUGAGAUCCUAGCCCAUUGUUACAAUAUUGAGGAGGCAGAGAAUGAUAAUCAUCCCUGGUACCAAGAUAUAUUGCAAUAUGUGAAGAAUCGCGAAUAUCCUGAUCAGGCAACGGAGAAUGAUAAGAGGACAUUAAGGAGGCUAGCUAUUGACUAUGUCUUAGAUGGGGAGAUCCUAUACAAAAGGGGAAAGGAUCGAGUACUGUUGAGAUGCGUGGACGCUGUAGAGGCUAGGGAAAUUUUACAAGAAGUCCAUGAGGGUGUUUGUGGAACACACGCUAAUGGAUUCACCAUGGCUAGACAGGUUAUGAGAUUCGGAUAUUACUGGUCCACCAUGGAGAGAGAUUGCAUUAACCAUGCUAAGAAAUGCCAUAAAUGCCAAAUUUAUGGGGAUAAAAUGCACGCGCCUCCUUCUCCUCUUCAUGUUAUGACUUCUCCAUGGCCUUUCUCCAUGUGGGGUAUGGACGUCAUUGGACCGAUAUCACCAAAGGCUUCUAAUGGACAUCGUUUCGUUUUUGUGGUUAUUGACUACUUCACUAAGUGGGUAGAGACAGCCUCAUAUGCUAAUGUUAUGAAGUCAGCAGUCAGUAAGUUUUUGAAGAAGGAGAUCAUAUGUCGAUAUGGAAUGCCUGAAAGGAUAAUAUCUGACAAUGUGUUGAAUCUGAAUAAUAACACAAUAGCGGAAGUCUGCGAUCAGUUCAACAUUAGACACCAUAAUUCAUCACCAUAUCGCCCAAAAAUGAAUGGUGCAGUGGAAGCGGUAAAUAAAAAUAUUAAGAAAAUCAUGGCGAAAAUGGCUGAAACUUACAAGGAUUGGCAUGAGAAGUUACCUUUCGCUCUUCUUGCUUAUCAAACAUCUAUCAGGACUUCUACUGGGGCAACACCUUUUUCAUUGGUUUAUGGAAUGGAGGCAGUGUUACCCAUUGAGGUUGAAAUUCCUUCUCUUCGAGUUUUGGCCGAGUUAAAAUUGGAUGAGGCUGAAUGGAUCCAAUCUCGGUAUGAUCAACUGAACUUGAUUGAAGAGAAAAGAUUAAAAGCCAUUCGUCAUGGCCAAAUGUAUUAGAAGCGAAUGAUGUGGGCUUAUAAUAAGAAGGUUCGUCCCAGAAAAUUUCAUGAAGGGGAUUUAGUUCUGAAAAAGAUCAUCCCUUUACAAAAGGAUUUCAGAGGGAAAUGGAUGCCAAACUGGGAAGGACCUUAUGUUGUGAAAAAGGCUUUUUCUGGAGGUGCUUUGAUUUUGAGUGAAAUGGAUGGCAAGAAUUUUCCGAAUCCUGUAAAUUCAGAUUCAGUCAAGAAAUAUUUCACUUGAAAGGAGAGAGGAAUCAAAGUGAAAACCUGCAAAGGGCACUCUGAUUUCGCAAAAAAAAUAAAAAAAGAGGAGAGGCCAAGGUGAAAACCCGAAAAGGGCACCUUGAGACCAAAAGGGGUUUGAGUUGAAAACCUGAAAAGGGCGGCUCAAACAUUGUCAGAUUGGGACAUAUGGUGAUCUUACUUCACUUAAGACAACAAGAAUAUAGAUAUCUUGAGGCAUUGACAGAGUACUGUGGAUCCCCUAAACACAUGUAAAAUUCAGAAUGGUUCUUGGCUUGUACGGAAAAGUUCAAGCGGCGAUAUCCAGAGCACCUAGUCUUCAUAUUAUUUGUGCCAAGUUUGUUGGUUCUUGUAAAUACUUUAUUCUUUGCUGUUCUUGAAUAUUUUUUUCUUUUCAAGACAUUUACUAUCAAUAAAUUCCUGAAUUAAUUCAUCUCUUACUCAGUAUUUUUGAUCUUUGCGCAAGCAUGUCACAUUAAAAUAAUGAUUGAUGGACUAAUUAACUUUUACAAAAGAAGUUUGGUAUUACUCUGGGAAUUUCUAAAUAAUUUAGUAACCUAAAACAUGACUAUUUUGGAACAGUCCGAGGACAAAAGAUAAAGAGUAUAAGGAGGAAAAAGUUUAAUUAAGAAUGCUUUGGUGGUCUAAAAUAGCGAAUGAGACAGCAGGAGGUUUUGAUGGGGUAGGAAGAAGUUUCCUAUGGAUAGAAAGCUCCUCAUUUGGGCAUAAACAUUUGAUAGGACACCCUGAGAGUUGUGUAAACGAAUUUCGUAAUCUGUAUCCUUAAAAUAGGAGAAGAUUGAAGAAAAGCCAUAUACUCUUGGGUUACAGUGGGAGAACGAUGGUAUGAAUUUUUGCACCCUAAGGGAUUAAACUUUAAGGUUUAUAGUGGGGGCAACCUGGCUAAAUGUUUCUUCAGAAAGCCAGUCAAGUAAGAAGGCAUUGUAGCACAUCAGUCGCAAAGCUUUAAUAAACUUCGAGUAAUGACAACCUAAGCGGGAUCAUUCUCGGAAAAACAAAAUUUUGCAUUCAUGAAAACAUCAUUCAUACGUACCUAGUUAGGAGCAUUGGACUCAUUCUGAUCACGACAUCCUAAUCACUAGGCAUAUUUAGAUUCAUAAAAUGAAUUAUACAGGUCAUGUUCCCUAGAGAACAAACCGGUGAAACACCAAGCCUUGUCUCCCUGAGCAGCAGUGGAGAAGGUUGAAAGUUGUAGAUCUUAUCUCCCUAAACAGUAGUGGAGCAGAUCGAAGACGACGAAUCUUAUCUUUCCAAGAUAGUGGGAAGCAGAUUUAAGCUACCAAGCCUUGUCUCCCUGAGCAGCAGCGGAGAAGGUUGAAGAUUGUAGAUCUUAUCUCCCUAAGCAGUAGUGGAGCAGAUCAAAGAUGGCGAAUCUUAUCUUUCCAAGAUAGUGGGCAGCAGAUUUAAGCCACCAAGCCUUGUCUCCCUGAGCAGCAGCGGAGAAGGUUGAAGAUUGUAGAUCUUAUCUCCCUGAGCAAUAGUGGAGCAGAUCGAAGAUGGCGAAUCUUAUCUUUCCAAGAUAGUGGGAAGUAGAUUUAAGCCACCAUGCCUUGUCUCCCUGAGCAGCAGCGAAGAAGGUUGAAGAUUGUAGAUCUUAUCUCCCUAAGCAAUAGUGGAGCAGAUUAAAGAUGACGAAUCUUAUCUUUCCAAGAUAGUGGGAAGCAGAUUUAAGCCACCAAGCCUUGUCUCCCCCAGUAGCAGCGGAGAAGUUUGAAGAUUGUUGAUCUUAUCUCCCUAAGCAGUAGUGGAGCAGAUCGAAGAUAGCGAAUCUUAUCUUUCCAAGAUAGUGGGAAGUAGAUUUAAGCCACCAAGCCUUGUCUCCCUCAGUAGCAGCAGAGAAGUUCGAAGAUUGUUAAUCUUAUUUCCCUAAGCAGUAGUGGAGCAGAUCGAAGACGGUGUAUCUUAUCUUUCCAAGAUAGUGGGAAGCAGAUUUAAGCCACCAAGCCUUGUCUCCCUGAGCAGCAGCGGAGAAGGUUGAAGAUUGUAGAUCUUAUCUCCCUAAGCAGUAGUGGAGCAGAUCGAAGAUGGCGAAUCUUAUCUUUCCAAGAUAGUAGGAAGCAGAUUUAAGCCACCAAGCCUUGUCUCCCUCAGUAGCAGCGGAGAAGUUUGAAGAUUAUUGAUCUUAUAUCCCUGAGCAGUAGUGGAGCAGAUCGAAGACGGUGUAUCUUAUCUUUCCAAGAUAGUGGGAAGCAGAUUAAAGCCGAUAAGCCUAUCUCCCUAAAGUUGUAGUGGAGCGGAUUAAAACCUCAGAUUUUAUCUCUCUGAAGUUGCAGAGAGCAGAUCGCAUCUAGUCUUAUCUCCCUGAAGUUGCAGUGAGGUAGACUGAAGAGGGCACUAAUUCCUAUACUUUUGAAGAGUACCAAGUCUAGCACGACCGGGCAAAAUUUGGCACUUUUAGAGUCUUUGCUCCAUUCCCGUUACACGACUAUGAGCAAAGAGGGGCAGCUGUAAUACUUAAAUUUUACCCGGCCCCAAAUAAAUAAAAUAAAUACAAAGCUUGAUUUGCAAACAGGCCAUAAGGGCCCAAAACCCAAAAUACAACAGGGGCCCAAAGCUUAAUGGCCCAAAUCAUAUGCAGAAACCCUAGGGUUUCUGAAGAAGACCUGUGCGCCGCAGCCGCAGCCAUCACCAAGCCGAAUCUUCACGAUCUUCACCUACAAACACAAGAAAGGAAAGAAAAUCAAAUCAAAUCAAAUCGAAUCAAAUCAAGCAAAUUUCUUGCUUCUAUUUGUUGUAUUUUCAUUCGGCUAUAUAAAGCCAUAGACAAUAUUGUAAAGGGGCCGGAUUUUUAAAAAUCAAAAAUACAAAUUACAACUUUCGCAAUAUCAAGGGCAAAAAAAUCGAAACAAAGGUUGAUACUUGCAAUUUUUAAUCAUUUUCUAUUGUUACAUAUAUAUUUUUUUUAUUUACAUACGAAUAAAAUAGAGAAGAGAAGGAAAGAAACAACCUGCGUUUGGAGCCUAAACCGUCGUGUGCCUCCGAGGUAGCCGUCUCCGAGGAAAGACGGUCGGAAACCGAAAGGUUUCUCGGGUUUUUGAGGCAUCUCCGCUUUUAUUUUGAGGGUUUUGAGCCCGGAUCUAAGCUCAGGGGGUUAAGAAGGUUGAAAAGGAAAUUUUUUUUACUUUUUCCGGCCACCGCGGACGGUGGUGCCGGCGCUGGAGAUCGGCGGCCGACGUGGUGGCCGGUGACCGGCCGAUGACUGUCCGAUGAUCGGCCCAUGGCCGGAGGACAGAAAGGUGGAGAGAGUUUUUUUAAAAAGUAUUUUUGUUUUUUUUAAAAAAUGUUUUGAAAUGAAAUUUUUGUUUUAUUUUUGGCUUAAAUAGCCAAUUGAAAACGGCGCCGUUUUGAAGGGAGGAUCCGCGCGUCGACCCGACCCGGAUCCAGGAUCCGUGCGUUUUUAUGCGGAGGGGCAAAUUGCAUUUUUAGCCCCUCCGCCUUUUUAAUGUUUUACAAUUAGGUUUAUUUAAUUUUUUAAAUUAGCCCUUUAAUUCGUUUCCGAUUUCAAUCUAACCCUGCUUGAACGACGCCGUUCUGAGGAGAAGGGUAAAUUGCCUUUCCAGCCCCUCUGAGUUAUCAGCGUGUUCAAUAGGAUCUUUCAAUUUCUAUUUAUUUACAGAUUUGUUUCAGAAUUUUUAUUUACAGUUCAAAUUAGCCCUUUUUUUUCUUUCAUUUUCCUUUUUUUUUAUAUUCUUUUUUCAUAUUAAUUUGUUUUAAUAUAUAUAUAAUAUAUUUUUACAUACGCACAUUUAUUUUUGUAGAAUUGUAUAAUUAUUUGUUUAUUUAUUUAUUUAUAUGUAAUUAUUCUUUAUAACCUAUAUGUAUAUAUUUAUUUUAGUACAUAUAAAUAUGCAUAUAUAUUAAUAUUUUUAAUCAAUAUAUAUAUGAAUAUAUAUAUUUAUUUUUUUUAAAAAUGCAAAUAUAUAUUUUUUAUACACUUUAUAAUUUAUAUUUUUCCUUUUAUUUUCACAAAUGCAUCAUAAAUGUAUAAGUUUCGUAGCCCAAAAUUUAAGUUGUAUGUAUAUUUUUAAUCUUCAUAAUUUCUAUGUGUAUAUUAUAUGUUUUCUGAUUUUUAUUUAUUUUGAUUUCCUUUUUUGUGAUUUAAUUGUGUUUGUAUUUAAUAUUUUGCAUGACAUGGAUUAUUGCUUUAUAUUUAGUUUAUUAUUUGUUUAUAUUAUUUUUAUGCUAUUAAUGUAUUUAUUAUUGUUGAAUUUAUUAUUAUAGCAUUUGUAUGUAAUAGAACAUGACAUCAUCUUUUACUCGAUUUUAAAGUUACAAAAUUGAGAUAGUGCUUGAAUUGAGGAUUUUCAAGGAAAUUGAGCCCUAACGUAUUGGGUUCCGAUUUUCUUUGUUAAGUCUAAGAAUCGAGCAUUUCUCUUUAAUAAAAAUAAGAAUUCAUUAUUGGGAAUUCAACACGUUGUGUCCUAACGUAUUGGAUGUGAUGCAUUGAUUUCUCGAAAUGAAGUUUUUUCUAAAAAAUAAUAAAGGAAAUAUUUCGAGUUUGGGAUUUUAAAGAAAUCGUGCCCUAACGUAUUGGGUGUGAUUUCUUGAAUCUUGGAUAAGUGGAUGUUCUUUUGGAGUUUUAUCGCACUUGUAUUUUGGCCCAAUUCAUUUUGGAGGAAAUUAGAAUGUUGUGCCCUAACGCAUUGGGUGUGGCAUUUUUGCUUCUCUAAAUGGAGAAAGGUCUUAAUACGCAACAUUUUAAGUUUUUUUAAAGAUUAUAUUUUUUUAAAUUUUCGACCUUAAGACAUUAAUUGGUUAAUUAGGUACCAAUUUUGGGCGUUAUGAGGGUGCUAAUCCUUCCUCAUACGUAACUGACUCCCGGACCUGUUUUUCUAAAAUUCGCAGACCAAAAUCAUUUUAGGUGACCCAAUCACACCUUAAUAAAAGAUUGGUGGCGACUCCCAAUUUUCAUUUUUUUAAAGUCGACAACCUGAAAUAAAAAUUUUUAUUUUUCAAAAAAAUGGUUUCGACAACAACAACAACAACAACAACAACAAUAAUAAUAAUAAUAAUAAUAGGUUGAGCUCCUAAGCCUAAAAUGGGUCCAAACUCAAGUAACAUCAUAUUAUUCAAUAAAAAAAUUCAAAAUUUGAAUUAAAUAGUUUGAGUAAUUUGAGUUAAUCAAGUUAUUCGAGUCAACCUGAAUAAAAAAUCGGUUUAACUCGAAUAUAAAUUAUACAAUUCGAGUUAUCUGAAAAUCCAAAUAAUAAAAGGCAAAACUACGUCAUUUUGAUAAAUGUUUACCUUUUCUAAAGUUAAAAGUCAAAACCAUUAAGUUAAAAGGAAAAAUUACGUCGUUUCGAUAAAUUUUCACUCAUUAAGUUAAAAGACAAAACCAUUAAAUUGUUUAUGUAGUUAAAUAAUCUUAUCCUUCGUCUACUAGUUAAAUAAUCGGUCCAAAUAAACACAACAUUUAGUAUAAAUAAUAGGAUUCGUUAACUCAACUCGACUUGAUUUGAAAGUUUUUUACUCGAUUUGAUUCAAUUCAAAAAAAAAAUCAAAUUGAGUUCAGUUGCUAAAAUAGGAUUCGUCAACUCGACUAACUCAAUUUUUAACUCGAUUCGACUCGAUUCGAUCGAAUAUUCACCCUUAAUCACCAAUAAUAUUAACCUCAUUUAGCCAAAAAAGGCAACAUUCAUCCUACUAACCUAUUUUCCAUUGUAAUGAGGAAUUGGUUGUCAAAUAAUCAAAGGGAUGUUGUUAGAGAAAAAAAGUUGUCAUCCUAGUUAGGACGAUUGUUGAGAUGGUAGAGUUUAAAUUUGCCCAAUUGAUAUAUGAAUAAGUGGUCAAACAUGGAGAGAAGGUUCAUGCUAGAUACCCUCCACCUUUCCUUUUAUCUUCGUCUUACUAAACUAUAAUUAUAGUUUUUAUUGUUGUUAAUGCAUAUUCUAGACAAAGCAUUGGUGGUUAAUCUACUUAACUAUGUUCUAAGUUAAAUUUGUUGGAUUAAGGAUUGUGCUGAGGGGGGAGCUAUAGGUGUUUUAUUUAUUAGCUUCCUGAUUUGAUUGGUUUUGUUCAAAAAAUUGACAAAGGAGAAUAUUGUUGAGGCGAGUUUGUGACAUGGUUGGUUAAGUGCCAAUGGAAGUGGUCACUUCCACCAUCAUUGUGAUAGUUUCUUAUUUUCCAUUUUUAUAGUUGGCGAUACAAAUUCUUUGGGCUAUGAUUUAUGUCAAUGUUGUGGAAGUUUUUAAGCCCAUCAAUAAAGAUCGAUCCAUUUAGGGAAACAAAUUUAAGGAUUGGAUUGAAUUGCAUCUUGCAAAUCUAAUCCAGUGGAUUAAAGAUGUUGGAUUAGGACAAACUUUGAAGACUUAUCUCCAAUAGUCCAAUUUACAUUGGCCUUUAUUAUUAUAUUGUAUUUAUGCUAUUUUAGCUGCUAGGAAUAAGGGAUUGGAUUAUAGUUGAUCUUUAGUAUGUUAGCAAGUCUUGAACUUCUAUAUAUUUGAUAGACUUGAAUAGGUUUUGUAAUCAAGUAUUUGAGACCACUUAUUAGUUCAUAAAGGAAUAUUUUCUACUCUUUCAUAUUUCUAUCCUCCUAAAUUUCUUUCACUUUACCAAAAAUAAGGCCUUGAAAAAGGCCACGUUCAUCUACUUUGUGGUCGUUACAGUGCUGACACGGUCAUUAACAACAUUAACGUGGCGCUCUAUGUCAGCGAUAGUCAGCUACCAUGUUAGUAAAAAAAAAUUUUUAAAAAUUUAAAAGGAAUAUUUAAAUUUUUUUUACUAGAAUGAACCUAAACAGAUGGUUGUCCAAGUUCAUUCAUUUCAAAGCUUAAUUUUUUUUUAAAUUUAACAAAAAUUAAAGUUUUUUUUAUAAAUAUGCAAAACAUUAUUAAAAUUUAAUAAAAACAUUUAAAAAUUAAGUCCUUAAUGAAUAUGUCCAAAUUCAUUCAAGAUUAGUUUAAAAUAUAUUAAAAUUAGUUUUCUUUAAAAAUUGAUAUGUGUAUCAAUAUUUUUCUAUUGCUACCUUUUAGGAUGAAUAAAAAAUAAAAAAAUAUUUUAGAAAAUAUAUCAAUUUAAAUAAUUUAAAUUUUAUUAAUCAUUCGUCUAAGGAUUUUUUAAAUGUAUCAAUAUAUACAAUUAAAAUAGUGUAUCUAUUAUUUCAUUACAUGUGUAGCUUAAAAGGUUUAAAAAUUUGGAUAUAUUUGAACAUCUGAAAAAACUUUACACAAAUGAUUAAUAAAAUUUAUUUUUAUUUAUUUUCUAAAAUAUUUUUUUAAAUUUUUAUACAUUCUAAAAUGUACCAAUAGAAUUAGAACAUUGAUACACAUAUCAAUUUUUUAAAGAAUAUUAAUUUUUAAUAUUUUUUAAACUUUUUAAAAUUUAGAAAAAUUGUCUUGAAUGAAUUUGGACAUAUACUUAACUUGUAAAUGGUUUUUAUUAAUUUUUAAUUUUUUAAAUUUAUUUAAUAUUUUAUAAAUUUUAAUAAUAUUUUAAAAUUUUAUAAAAUAUAUUAUUUUUUAAAAAUAUUUUUUUAAUUUAAAAAAUUUUUAAGCUUCGAAACGAAUGAACUUGGUACUGCGACAUCAACGACUAUUCCUUUUUAAAAAAAGUAAAUAUUCCUUUUUAUUUUUUAUUUUUGUUGACAUGGCAGUUGACAUGGUAUUGCCACAUAAGCAACUAUAGCUAACAUGAAGCACCACUUAGCGUCGUUAAUGGCUACGUAAACAUUGUAACAGUCAAUAUUAGUCAAAGGGCCUAUUUAGCAAAUUUUGUUAGUUUAGGGGCUCAAUUGGGUGCAAAAAGUUUGCAGGGUCUUAAUUGAUUUUUUGAUAAAGUUCGAGGACCAAAAAUACCAUUAAACCCUUCUUUAACUAUUGAUAUAUAUUUUCAAAGUAUCGAUCAACAUUAGCCAAAGGGCUUAUUUGGUCAAUUUUGUUAGUUUAAGGGCUUAGUUGGGUGCAAAAAGUUCGCAGGGGCUUAAUUGAUUUUUUCGAAACAGUUCAACGAUCAGAAAUACCACUAAGCCCUACUUUAACUAUUGAUAUGUCUUUUUUAAUUAAUUUUACAUUAGCGCAUGGUACAGGCACACAAUGUACGAGGUGUUUCCACGUAUACAUGUAGAGUGUAUUUGAUACCACAGAGGAGUUAGAUGAAAAUGUGAUUAUUAAGGUAGUAAUGUCACCUUCUAGUAAUUGCAAAGAAGUAUAAUUUUCUAGAUGCAUUUGGCUAGUAGAGUGUAAUUAUAUUGUAGUUCUUUGUGCCUUGUUUAGUAAUAUAAAUUGUAAUUACACAUUUACAAAAUUUAUCAAUAAUACUUGAGAAAAAAAUUAAAACAAGUAAAAUAAAUUAAAAUCAAAUCAUUAGUCCAAAAAAGUAAUUGACAACACGAUUACUAAUGAAAAAAGAACAAGAAAAAUAAACAUCAUAUGCAAAUUUAUUAUUGCUCUAGCAUUCCAUGUUUGUUGGGUUAUUCUUUUUCUAACAUUUAACAUAUACUUCUUAUCAUCAUCUAUUAGUCCUUGACCAAUUUCUUCAUUGUUGAUACAAAGGUACAAAAAUAGAGGUGAGUACGGAGGAGGUAAGGCGGAGUGAGUGGUGGUUUUGUGGAGACUGAUUCACUUAAAAAGGCAGAGAGUCUGAAAGGAACAAGAGCACAAGAUGAUUGUUGAAAGAGGAGAUGGUUGCUUAGAGUAACUUUAAGGGUUGGAAAAUCGAUCCCUUCUUCAUCGUUGGAAAGAUAUUUAUAAGAAAGGUCCUCUUGUCCAUUAACAUGGUGUGGUAGGAUAAAUGCUUAGUCCCACCAAAUGUGUAAAUGAUAUUCAUGAACAUUAAGGAUAUUUAUGAUGGGGCCUAUUCUGUUAUUCAUUCGAUGUAACACCCUUUAACCUGAAUCUGUCGUCGGAUUAUGGUUACGAGGCAUUACCGAUCAAAACAAGGUUCAGAACUGUAAUUCAUUUUCAUUUAAUUCAUUUUUUUACCAAUUAUAACCGUACCUAAAUAAUUGACCAAUCAUUCAUAAAACAUAUUCAUUCUUUUCCAUCAUUUAAUCAUCAAAACGUUCCAUAUCAUAAUAAGCAUGCUAAACACAGUUCUAUCAUAUACACCAUUUCCAAGCCAAAUCACAUGGCUAGAAUUACAUUUCAAAAAUAUACUAAUAGUUCACUAGCCUAUACAUGACAUACACCAUAUAUAUAAAGCUUCAAAGGUACCAACAAAAUGAUCGAUAGUGCGAUGACGUUUCCUGACGAUCUCCAAUUCUGAGCUAACUUUGAUAAUCUAAAAAAAAAAAGUGGAAGAAUGCACAAAGUAAGCUGUGGUAGCUUAGUAAGCCGUAAGCAAAUAAAUCAUUGCAAUGAAAAUUAUAAUUCAAUUCUACUAAGUUGAAUUCAAACAUAUCCCAAACACAUAUCCAUAUUAUUACAUUAAAUGCUAAACUUACCUUUAUAUUUCAUAAACAUAAAAUUUCACACCUACCUGAAUCAUUUAGUUUAAAUUCACAUUCGGAUUUGUUAAGAACAUACAGAAAUCUUAUAAAAUUUGUACAAUGCCAUAUCCCGGAUAUGGUCUUACAUGUUAACGCAUAUAGAUGCCACUGUCCUAGACAGGGUCUUAUACGAAUCAUAUACGAUGCCAAUGUCCUAGACAUGGUCUUACACAAAAUCACACCUUUGAAGUACUAAUAUCAUGUCAUCUAUAUCAAAUACAUUUUCUAAGGUUCAUUCUAAGCUAUCGACUUCAUAAUUAAAUCAUUUCAUACACGAAACAUGUCAUCAAAUGCUCAAAUCAAUUCAGCAAUAUAUAUAUUCAUAUACGAAUAUAAUUCGACAAUGAAUAUUGAUAUACCAAGAAAUUUGGCAAUAUAUAACCAUAAACUAAUCAAAUUUGGUAAUGCAUAAUCAUAUACAAAUCAAAUUCGGUAUCCUAUAUUCAUAAACAAUUUAAUUUCAACAAUGUAUAACCAUAUACACAUUAUUUUCAGCAAUGUUCAACCAUAUACGAAUCAAUUCGGAAACUUAUAUCCAUUUACAAUUUAAUUUCAACAAUUUAUAAUCAUAUAAAAAUUAUUUUCAGCAAUUUUCAACCAUAUACAAAUCAUUUCAGCAACUUCUGUAGAUAUACAAUUCAAUUUCAACAAUAUAUAACUAUAAACAAUUCGAAUUCGACAAAAUAAAACAUUCAAAUUCGGCAAUGUAUAUCUAUAAUUAAUCAAAUUUGGCAAUGUAUAAAACAUUUAUAUUUAAUUUCAAAACAUUUAUUUACUUACGAACUUACCUCGUAUUCGGAAUUGACAAAUCCGAUCGAUUACUCGAUAACUUUUGACUUUCCUCGAUCUAACUCCGAUUUCUUUCUUUCUUGAUCUAAAUCAAUUCAAAUUUAACUUAUUUAAAAUACACAUUCAUUCAAUUUCAUCCAAAAACACAUAAAUGGGCAUUUUACACAUUAGCCCUUUAAGUUUCACAUUUAUUCAAUUUAGUCCCUUUUUCACAAAAUCACAAAUUACACAAAAUUUCAAUACACCUAUGCUUAGCCAAAUUCAUUAGCGGUCCCUAUAAGCCCACAACUUGCAUUUAUUUCACAUUUCAACCACUCUAUUUACACAUUUCACAAUUUAAUCCCUAAUUUACAUUUUCAUCAAAAAUCACUUUAUAAAACAUGAUAAUCUAACAUCAAAUAUUUAUUUUUCAUCAUCGAACAACAAAAAAAAUCAAGCUAUGAUCAAUGGCAACUCACAAAUUCAUCAACCAAUCCAAAAAUUAAAGCAUGGAGUAGCUAAAAUACAAAACAACGAUCUCAAAAACGUAAAAAUAAUCAAAAACCGAGUUCAAAACAUACCUAAAUCAAGAAUGCAAAGGGCCAAACCCUAAAAUGCUUCAAAUGGUCUUUCUUCUUUUGAUUUUCAGUGAGAAAAAUGAUAAAAUAAGCUUAAAUUUUGUUUUUUUUUAUUUAUUAUACAUUAAUAUAUAGUUUACCAUUUUACCCUUGGUUAUUAAACCAUUUUAAUCAUCAAGUAUAAGGCCAUUAAUGUCCAUUAACACUACCAAUGGUCUAAUAUCAUCAUAAGGACUUUUAAUUUAAUUAAUCAUAGCAAUUAAGCACUUUAAACAAAUAGAAUGCAACUUUUUGUAUUUUAUGCGAUUAAGUCCUUUCAUCAAAUUAACUAACCAAUCGGUAAAAUUAAAUCAUGAAAAUUUCACACAUACAUGCUAUCAUGCUAUAAACACAUAAAAUAAUAUUAAAAUAAUUUUACAACUUCAAAUUUAUGGUUCCAAAACUACUGUUCUGAUUUAGCUAAAAUCGGGCUGUUACAUUCGAUCAGUACAAGGUUGUUAUGCCCACGCAGAUCCUAAUGGCCUCAAGUAUGUGUUCACACCAAAAAAGUAGGUGCCUAACCUUUCUAAAGGGUUGGUGCUCCUUUGAUCUUGGUGGAUGGUCCAAUGAUAAUACUCUAAAAUGACAUACUUUUUAUGUGUUAAUUGCAUAUAUAUUUUGAGUAUGAUUAUACUAAAUUGUGGUUUUUAUGGUUUUUUAUCUUGUAGGGACCAAAUUGAAGGCAAAAGAAAAUUUGGGGGCAAAAGCAUGAAUUUAAAGAUAAAAUGGGCCAGCUUGCGAAAUAGGAACGAAGUGGUGCCAAAAAUACGAAAUGUGAAAUACUUGGGGGCAAAAAUUCAAAGAAGAGAUUUAUAAACAUAAGAGUCUAUUUAAAUAUGAAUUUUAUUAGGAUUAUUGUUAGAAUUAUCAUUUAGAUUUAAUUUCAGUUUUUUCUUUAUUUAUCUUUUAGAGUUUAAAUAGGAACAAACUAUGUUUUCUAUGUACUAUAAAUAGGGGAUGGAGUGACAUAACCGUCUCUCUAAAGCUCUUAGCUUUUGUUCCUUUUAUUAUUCAAUAAAAUUCCAUUUUAUUAAGCUUAUUUCUUUUUUCUCGAAAAGCAUGAGCCACUAAACUCAUCUAGUCAAAGCUUGUCGAGAUUCCCCAAAAAGGUUCAUGAGGCUUAUAACCCGCACUUAGCCUUCUCAACGAGUAUUCAUCGUUUCUCCGUAUUAUAAGACUGAUGCUUCCAUCCAUGUCCUUCCAAAAGUGAUCUUUCCAUCUUGUGUAAAGGCGACCACUUUGUAUGUUUUGGGAAGGUUGCACAGUCAGUUCGUUAGCUUACUGCGUCAGUGGUUUUCAAGCCCAAGAGACAAAAUGGCAUGGCAUUCACCAUUGAGAAAUGAUGAUCUAGUGUAAGACAGGCUCACAAAAGUGACGGUUUGCUAGAGUCAGGUUCCUCGAAAUCAGAAGUCUAAAAUGUAAAUGGAGCUGGUGGUCGUAGGCAUCCUCUUCCACUAUAACUGGCUUAUUCUGUCAUGAGAAGGAACACCUAAAAGCCUAGGAUUGAACCCAAGGAGGAUCGAGAUAACUGGAGGCUGGAGCUCCUCAAAUUGAAAAAUUCUUUCUCUCAAUUAUGUUUAUUUUUACAAUUUUAAUUUCAAUUUAUACAAUAUCAAUUCGUCCAUAAUUUUAAUUCUGUCUUAUUUUUUUUCAGGUACACCAUUUUUCUUGGGAACCAACUGUGCACGAGAUCUUAAGGAACAAGAAGUUGUACAAAUCUAGCCCCUGAGUAUUUGACCCUACUUCUUUUAUACUAUUCUUUUUGUUAUUUUAUAGGGAUAGGUUAUUUUUGGUGCUUCUAACGACACACAAAAUUUUGGCGCUGUUGCUGGGGACUGGUAAUGUACUAAUCUUGUUUCUUUUUCUUAUGACCAUAUUUGCUCCAAGAAUUCUUGUGUUUGAUUCAAAAAUAGAAAAGACUGGGAAAGCUAAUUGUAAGGAAAUAAAGCUACGUAAAAAGCAGUCAGAAGUGGUAGGGACUCAAAGUAACCCAUCGUCGGAAAUAGAAGUAGGCGCAUAUCAACCUAUGGCUCAAACGAUUCGACAAUUGGCCAAAGCUCUUGCAGGACAACCACCGUUACGCAUUGUGUAUCCUACUAUGAAUACUAAUUUUAAACUGAAGUCAAGAUUAAUCUAGUUACUGUUGACUUUUCACGGAUUACAAAAUGAAAAUCCACACAAACAUCUAAAAGAGUUUCAUAUGGUUUGUCUUAGUAUGAAACCUCAGGACGUAACUAAGGAUCAAAUAAAAUUGCGUGCUUUCCCUUUCUCCCUAGCAGAUUCUACUAGGGAAUGGUUGUUUUAUCUACCUCCUGGAUCUAUUACAACUUGGACUGAUCUUUCCUGUUUGUUUCUCAACAGGUUCUUCCCAGUAUUUUGUGUAGUUGAGUUAAGAAGGGAGACCGUUGGGAUAAGGCAAAAAGAUGUGAAGUCUCUUUAAGACUAUUGGGAGGUAUUCAAGAAAUUGUGUGCAAGUUGCCCACAACAUGGGAUAACAGAACAGUCUCUGCUCUGAUACUUCAAUAAGGGUUAAAGCCCAUAGAGAUGAAUAUGGUAGAUGUUGCCAGUGGAGGAGCAUUGGUCAACAUGACUCCCCAACAGAUAAGGGAAUUGAUAUCCACAAUGGCCGCAAAUACUCAGCAAUUCUGAGUCAAUCUUGAGCCUAUUAGAAGGGUUCACCAGCUAAGUAUUUCAGCUUUAGAAGAUAAAGUCAAUCGACUUACUAAUAUCAUGAAUUAUCUUUUUGCAGUAAAAAUAGGACCAACCUGACCAUGCAAAAUUUGUGCAACACCCGGACAUACAACAGACGCGUGUCCUAGCUUGUGUGAUGAUGCUAUGGCCCAUUUAGAUGCUGUGGGAAAUUUUUCUGGACCACCCCAAAGGCAAUAUGACCCUUAUUGUAAUACCUAUAACCCAGGGUAAAAAGAUCAUCCCAACUUGAGUUACAAAGCUAACCUACAGUACAACCAACCAUACCAAAACCUGAUUCCACAAUAGCUGUGAGAUUCAAGUACCUCUCUGGAAACCAUGGUCAAUAAAUUAGCAGCUAAUAUGCUUGAUUUUUAACAAAAAAUUGAGGCGUCUAUAAGAGAAUUGACCACAUCAAUUGAGAAAAUGAACUCACAAGGGAAGCUACCAUCACAAAUGGAACCUAAUCCAAGACAAUGCUCAAAUGCAAUGACGUUCUGAAGUGGAAAAGUACUGGAACCGAAUCCUGGCAAGAAUCUUAAUCAAUAUUCCACCUAGAAAAAGCAGGAGAACAAUGAACAGGUUCGAACGAAACCUCUAUUACCCAUAAUUCAACCUCCAUUUCCAGGAUGAUUGAACCAAUAUCGAAAAACUAAAGAGGACAAAGAUAUCCUCGAAACAUUCAGGAAUGUUGAGAUCAACAUACCAUUGUUAGAUGCCAUCAAACAAAUUCUGUGAUAUGCUAGGUUCCUUAAAGAGCUUUACACCAACAAGCAAAAAUUAAGUGGAAAUGAAAGAGUAAGCAUUGGUGAGAAUGUAUCUGCGGUGUUACAACGGAAUAUGCCAGCAAAAUACAAAGAUAAGGGCAUGUUUGCAAUACCAUGCAAAAUAGGCCACUUAGGAAUCAAAAAAGCCAUGUAGGAUUUAGGAACUUCAAUAAAUGUAAUGCCUUUUUCCAUUUAUGAAUCACUUAACGCGGGGGGUUUUUUGACAAAAAUAGGUGUUAUCAUUAAAUUAGUAGAUAGGUCUAUUUUGCAUCCCAAAGGAGUCCUUGAGGACGUAUUAGUGAAAGUCAACGGACUUAUCUUUCCUACAGACUUUUAUGUGAUAAAAAUGGAAGAGGAUAACGUUCUUGGGUCGUCAAACAUUUUGUUGGGGAGACCUUUCCUUAGUACUGCAAAUACUAAUAUUGACAUGUGUAGCGGAACCCUCACGAUGGAAUUUGACACGGAGAUCGUAAAGUUUAACAUUUUUGAGUCAUCUUGAACGUAAAUAGUGUUGACAUAAUUGACUCAUUAGUAGAAUAAACUUUUGAGUCACCUUAUAAAGAUAAACUUGAAACAUUGUUUGAUGAUAAUUUCUAUAACAGACCCGAUUUGCCCGGCCCGUUAUGCUAAACCAAACAAAGUAAAUAAUAACAAAAAAACCAAUGUCCAGACCAAUUACAAAAAAACAACCCAAUAGAAAAUAAAAACUCUGAUGGCCCAUUACAAACCCUAGCCCAAAGCUAACAGCAAAAAAAAAAAAAGAAAACCCUAGGUGUGCCGUACCUAGGUCCACCCCCAACAGCAGCCACGCGCGCCUCCGUACGGCCACCUCCGUACCUUCACAUUGGCUUCUGUACACAGUUGGCCCUUAUACCUGCAAAACAGACAUGUAAACACAGAGAAAAAAAGAAAUGGCAUUGUAUUUGGCUAUAAAAGCCACCAAAACCGAAUGUAAAUUUUUUACGAAGAAAAUCAAUAAAAAAUCAGUAUAUUUUCGAAGGUAGAUCUUGUUUGCUUUAUGAUUUCUUAUUUAUUUAUUUAUUUUUCUUAUUUUUUUAGAAGGAAACAGAAAAUAAAAAAGGGAAAGGGAUAAAAGAUGUACCUUUUGCACCAUCGUGGGGUCGAGGUCCAUCGAUUCUGAUGAAAAUCGGCAUUUUUUUGGUCUUGGAACCGAAAAGCCCAAAAAAAUGGGCCUUUUCAAUUUUUUGGCUACCGCGGACGGCGGCGCCGUCGCCAGCGACCGACGGCCACCGCGGUGGUCCGACGACCUAAGCUGGCCGAAUUUUGGAACCUGUGAGAGAGAGGAUGAGAGAAUUUCAAUUUUGGUCCGGCGACCAAUCAAUCCACGCGUCGACCUGACCUAAGGGAAGGAUCCGCGUGUUUUGCUUCGACGGGUUAUUUGCACAUUUAGCCCUUCCGUAGUUUUCAGUUGUUUUAAUCCAGUCCUUUUUAUAUUUUCUAAUUUAUAUUUCAAAUUUUAUUUCAUUUUCAAUGUAGUCCUUGCAAAACGGUGAGUUUUAAGAGUGCGGGAAAAUUUCCCAUAUGGCCUCUGUCCCUUACGCGCGUUUCAGUUUAGUCCUAUUUCGAUUUUACCUUUUAAAUUAUUACGAAUUUUGCCUCAAAUUUUAUUUGGAUUUCAAUAUAAUCCUUUAAUUAAUUUAUAUUUAUUGUUUGUCUAUUAAUCUAUUUAUUAUUCUUUAUUUUACUUUAAGUUAUUUUUAUUUUUAUAUCCACUAUUUUUCAUAUAUACCUAAGCUUUAAUAUUGCUUUUACAAAUUUACUUGUUUUAUUUCCUCAUUUUAAUAAUUCUUAAAUUUAUCCUCAACUACGUUUGUUUAUUUAUUAUCUUAUUUUUAUGAUAAUAAUAAUUAUAUUAUUAUUAUUACCAUAACCCUAAUUUCGCCCUGUUUUUAUAUCCUUCAAAUAUUUCAUAAAUUGUUUUCAUUAAGUAUUUAUUUGUAUAUUUAUUUAUUAAUUCCCUUUGUCCUUUUAAAUUUAGUAUUGCUUUGUUAUUUAUUGAUUGUUUUAUUGUUGUUAUUCAUUGAUAUUAUUUAUUUUAUUCUUUUUUGAUUGUUAAUAUUAGCAUUAAAAUGAUGUAUGUUAUGUUAUCAUUGUUGUUGUAUUUGCAACGAUUUGUUUAUUAGUACGAUCACAUUGAAGUCAUUCGUUAGCUUAAUAUUUUAUUCGUAUAUCAUUUUAAAUAUGACAUUAAUUUUCAUCCAAAUUCAAAAAAAGAGGAAGAAGAUUUUAAAAAAUAAGCAAUAUUUUGUAUUUUGGAAUACGAAAGAUCAUUCCCCAGCUUACGGGGUCUCGAUUUUUCGAUAAAUCUGAAUAUACAAACCAUUUUCAAAAAAUACAUUUUUAAAAUUAUCUCGGGAAUUAAAAAGGAUCGUGUUCCAACUUACGGAUAUGAUUUCUUUUCCAAAAUCGAUGUCGAAACCAUUUUUUAAAAAUAAAAAUAUAUGGUCGACUUUAAAAAAUGAAAAUGGGAGUCGUCAUCGAUCUUUUAUUGAAGUGUGAUCGGAUCACCUUAAAAAUGAUUUUGGUCUACGAGUUUCAGAAGAAAAAAGGGUUCGGCAGUUAGUUAUGUACGAGGAAGGAUUAGCACCCUCGUAACACCUAAAAUUGGUACCGAAUUGAUUACUUAAUGUCCUAGAGUCGGAUGUCAAAAAUUCGAAGAGAUUAAAAAAAUGAUUUCCCCUUUUUAUUAAUGCCAUAUUUUAAAUAAUACUUGGAUAAAUUUGAACGGGAGUAAAAAGGCUUCCUCACCUCGAGACAACAAAAUGUCUUAUCCUGUAAGUUAGAAUGCGACAUUUGAAUUCUCAAGAAUAAGCUAACCUCCAAAAAUUUUAUUGAAGUUUGGCGAUUUUGCAAAAUAAGAAGGGUUUAGCCAUUUUAGUUCGAUGAGAAAAUCGAAACCCCGUAAGUUAGAGUACAAUCCCUCGAACUUCCAAAGACGACAUGUUGCUUGCUUUUUAAUAAAUACAUGUUUUUGAAAAUAAAAGGUCAUUUCAAAUUAACAAGAAAACCGAGACCCCGUAAGUUAGGGUACGAUUUCUCGAAAUUUCAAAACGUAUUAUAAAACCGACUCGAAACGUACUUAGUUGAUUGGUUUGACAUAAAAUAAAACAAUUAAUAAUGAUCGUAUAUAUUGGAAUUUUGACUCAUGACACGAUGACGAGAAAUAAUAGCGUAAUUGUAUGCACGACAUGAUAGUACAUAGCAAAAAUAUAAAUAACAAUGUAAAUACAAAAGAGCAAAUUAAGAUAUAUACGUAUAUGGCAAUUGUCUCACAUCAUAUAUAUUGCUAACAUUCAAAGGUCGUUAAAAAGUCAAUUGAGGCACCAAACGAAUUAACACACAUGAAAUUGUCCAAGCAUGAAAUCAAAGAUGUAUUAUACAAAACAAUAUACAUGCUAACUUAUAUAAGUAUCACAUAUUAAAUGAAAAACAUAAUAAUAAUAUAAAUGAUAAUAUAUAUAAUAAUAUUAGCAAAAGGGUUGAAAUAAACCAAAUAUGUAAAGUAGGGUUUGAAAAUAAAUUAUAUAGAUUGAUUUUAAAAAAGCAUAUAAACAUAUUCAAAAGAAAACUAAAGGUUAACAGUUAUAAUAAUAUGAAAUCAAUAAUAUAUUCGUAGAAUAAAAAGUGAUUUAAUAAAAACCAUGUACAUAUAUAAUGAUAUAGUAUGAAAGUAUUAACAUAUAGAUUUAAAAAUAUAGGGAUAUAAAAGAGAAAUAAAAAAAAAUAUUAUAAAACCAUAAAAGGUGUACAAAUUAUAUCAAGUUAAUAAGCAAAUGACAAAAUAAUAAGUAUUAAAUGUAAGUACUAAAACUUGCAAAUUUAAAAUAAUAGUUUGUGAACACUUUUAAAUUAGGUUAAUAAUAAUUAAAAUAGUAACAAUGAUAAACUUAAAAUAAUAAUAAUGCAUGGUAAGCUUAAAAUAAUACAUGAAAAUAAACUAAAAAAAUAAAUUUAAAAUAAUAAUAUAUCAAAACCUAAAGAGUGUUAAUAAUAAACUUAAAAUAAUACUAACAUCAAAUAUUAAGAUGAUAUUAAACUUAAAAUUGAAUAUAUAUUAAAAACAGCAACAUAAUAAAUGGGUGAAUUAAAUCAAAAUGGUAAGGGUUAAAUUGAUUUUAAGACAAAAUUAGAGAGAAAAAACGGAAAUAAAAUAAAACGGAGGGCUAAAUUGUGACGCACGAAUAACAUGAGGACCGAAUGGGAAAUAUUCCCUUCCCCCAAAACGCGGCGUCUUUAUAAUGGACUAAAUUGAAAUGAAAAUGAAGCGUGUGGUUGGAUUUAAAGGAAACAAAAAGAUCGAUUUAAACUCAAUAUGAAAAACAGGGGACUAUUUGCGCAAAUUUCCCACGCGCUAUAAAACACGCGGAUUUGGGACCGGAUCGGGUCGGUGCACGGGUCGAUAACCAACACGGCGUCGUCUUGAGGCCACUGAGAAAGGCCUCAAACGGCGUCGUUUUGUGUGUUUAUUUAAACCAAACAAAUUAAAAAAAUAUUUACUUCAACCCUAAUUUCAAAACCAGAAGAGGCCCCCCCCCAUUUUCCUUUCCCAGGGUUUUGAACCCCACAGCCACCGCUCUCGUGCCUCCCUCACCUCCGAUCAAUGCUUGAAUAACACGGCUAUCGGAGGAACAAUGGCGCCGCCAACAAAAGGCAAAUCACUCUCACCUCUCUUUUUUAUUAUUAUUUAAAAAAAUAUGAAACAAAGAUAGAAAUCGAAAGAAGAAAACUCGAAAAAAAAUCACCUUCAAAUUGCUAUUUGAUUCUCUAUUUUUUUUAUUUUUCCAAUCCUUUUUACAGAUGUAAAAAUCGGCUUUUAUAGUCGAAUGAAAAUACAAAAAUUAUUCAUUUUUUCUUUUAUAUUUUCUCUACUAUUUGCUGUCACUAUUUUGUUUCUUUAUUGUUGUUGUUGUUUGUUUCUAUUGCAGGAGUGGCCGUACGAUGAUGUGGCACGACGCGUGGCUAACGCGCAGAGGGUGGUGCUGGAAGCGAUUAGGCACGUGGCGGCUUAGGCAGAUACAGCUUUAGGGUUUCUCUUUUUUUUGUAAUCGGGUUUUGGUUCGGCUAAUUGGGUUGAGUUUACGGGGCCCUGUUAAUUUUGCUGUAAUCUGGACAUGGACUUUAAUUAUGUAAAUGAAUUUUGAAUUUGGUUUUAUUUUUAUUGGGUUUUAAUCGGGCCUGGGCAAAACGGGCUAUUACAACCGAGAUAAUCAAAAUUUCUAAAAAUAAAAUUUGUGGUUUUUUAUUCUUGUUUCGGGAUUUAAGAUUAUAUCCCAACUCACGGGGUAUAAUUCUUUUUCUCAAUUGACAUCAAAUACGCCCUUUUUAAAUUCUUCUAGGUAAUUUUAACAAAAGGAUCGUAUUUUAAGUCUCUUCAAAAUAUUUUUAUAAAUUUGCAUAAAAACCAAUUUCUUAAAUCAUGUACUUGUGUUUGAAAAACUAUAAAGUUAUUAGUAAUUGUUUGUAAUUACUCUCGUAACCACCCCAACUCUCAACCCCUAACAAGAAUACUAUAUUUGAGGUGCCAUAAUUACAUUUAAUUAAUUUAGUGAACCCACCAAUUACAAUGGUUAUCCAAACAUAUCGCACCUUUGUAAUAGCAAGUAAUUAUACUCAAAUUUAAUAAUUACUAAAUGAUUUUUCAAACAUUACAAUAAUGAAUUUCUAACGUUUUGCGAAGAAAUUCUUUCCCUCCUUUUUAUUUAUUUACUACGAAGGAAGAUAUUUCAAAAUCACACUUUUGGGUCCGAAUUAAACUGAUUUUUUUUAUAAUUUCAAAACAAUUGCAAAGAAAAUUCAUGAAAUUAAGUUGUUUUCAAAUAAUUAAUUCACAUUGGAAUUUUCAAAUAAGAUGUCACAUUAAUAAUAUUUCAAUCAUUAAAAUAUUAUAUAACACAUUUUGCCAUACGAGAAAAUAUGAAAAUACUAGAAGUACUUAAUCCAGUUUAAUCUGCUCAAGGAAAUGACUCUAACACUGAGCUAAUUCAAUUAAGCCUCUGAAAUUAGCUUAACUUCAUAAAAUUUCUUUGCAAUUUUUUGGAUAUAUAUAUAUAUAUAUAAAAGUAAAAGAAAACAAGUUGAUUGGAUCAUAUUAUUUUCCGUGAGAAAUUAAAAUACCAGCCAAUAUGCAUGCAUUUAUUUUGUAGAAAAUUAAAACCAUAAAAAAACAAAAAGCAAAGAUUCAACUCUUUUAUUAUAGCAUUUGUUAGGGGUGAGCAAAAAUUGAUUCGAUUCAAAAAAAUUAAAAAAAUUUCAAAUUUCAAGUUAAUCGAAUAAAGUUAUUCAAGUUAUUAAAUACCCUUUUAGUCCUUUUCAAUUUUAAAAAUUGACAAACUGGUACAAAAAUUACAAAAUAAUCAAAAUAAUUUUUAAUUUUCAAAAUAUUUAUAAAAAUUCAAAAUUUUAUUUAUUUUUUAAAAAUUUAUACAAAUUUAAAAAUUAUAAAAAAAAAUUGUAAAGAAUAUAUAAUAAAAAAUUUAAAAAUUUUCUAAUAUAAUAAUUUUGGAACCUGAAUAAGUAAAUUAAUGAUUCAAGUUUAUAAUUCUAAAGUAUUUUUUUCUCUAAUUUUGCUUUGAAAGAGUUCUCAAAUAUAUAUGAUUUUAAAUUUGUAUACUCUAUCAUGAAAUUUGUUAUAUUGUAGCAAGAUUUUAACGUGAAAUGUUUAAUUUUUUAAUUUAACUCAAACAAUUUUACUUAAUUCGACUCGACUCGAAUUUCAUUUCACUCGACUCAAUUUGAAAAAAUUCCAAAUCAAGUUAGAUUGAUAAAAUGGGACUUGUUAACUCGAUUAGCUCGAAAUUAGUUUACUCGACCCAAAUAUUUUGCAUCAUUAAUACUAAUAACAACAUGAAAAUGAAUACUCAUCUUUUCUACUUACUAUGCAGGCACGAAAUGGAAAUUUCCAUGAGAAAAAAGUAUUGCGUAUGAAAAGGAAAGUUCCAUGACAUCGACUGAAGCAAUAACAACAAUUGGCCCUAAUAUUUACCACAUAAAUCUUUGACAUUUAUUAAAUUUUUUAAUUUAAUCCCUCUCAUUUUAAUUUCUAAAUUUUAUUAUCGUAUGUGACCCAUUAGGCUUCUUUGACAAUAAAUAUUCUUCAUUUCAAACUAGAAUCUAGCCAUUCAUCAUGACUCCAAAUUGGCGAAGUCAAAAUUAAUUUUUUUCGACAAAAACUUUCAUUUCUAGUUUUUAUGUGUAUUUAAAUCUUUCCAUCAUAUACCCCGAAUAAGCUAAAAGGCAUGACAUGGUGUCUGCUUUGCUCAUCAGGACUUAUAGUUAUACAAGUCAAGAGCAAAAUAGAUAUGUCAUACCAGACCUAAAACAUUCUACUUUAAGCACCUAUCAAUAUAAAUCCAUUUGGUGAUGAAUCAAAGUAUGACGGUCAACUUACAAGGAGAAUUUAUGUCUCAAGUCUAAGGAUUAUUUAUACUACCAAUACAGGGAGUAUUUCUAUAAAUACUAAGGUGUUUUUUACCCUUUAACCUUGUAUUAAUAUUUGUUUUGUUUCAAAAAAAAAUAUUUGUUACUUUUAUAAAAAAAUUGAAUUUUAAAUAAAUUUUCCGACCAAAUUAAUAUAAAUUAACUUGUAACAUUAAUUUAAUAAAAUAUAUUAAACAAGUGUAGAUAUAAUUUCAUUAAAAUAUGCGAAUAGAGAAAACAACAUUAAUUUGUCGGAAGUCCCCACUUUUUGGGUCUUAAUGGGUGAGAAUUUUCCUAGGUUAAAACCCAAGUCACGGAAUCGUCUUUGUCAAGUCUUGGGGCCAUAAUUAGGCACUUCGUACACUUGCACCAUGUACAAGGUGUUCCAAAUAUUUUACAAUAAAUGAAGUUCCAACGCUUUCUAAAUGAAAAUUUUGAUUCAACGACGACUGCAAUUUUGGAUUUAAAUCAUAUCAGACAUUUCACUUCUACAAUAAAUCACGAGAACGCCAAAAUUUAAUCUAGAGAAAUGGCUCUGUCGACACUAAAUUAAUUAAUUAAGCCUCUGAAAUUAACUUAAUUUCAUGAGUUUUCUUUAUAGGUAGAGAUGGACAUCCUAAUUUCAAUUAAAAAAUAACAAUUAAUCAUCUUGUUUUGGUAAGAAAGUAAAAUAGCAGCCAAGAUGCAUGCAUUUGUUUUGUGGAAAAUUAAAUUAAAACCAAGGAGUUAUCAUUAUCAACAAAUAUGGACCAUAAGAAGAUCCAUUCCUUUUAUUAUAUAUUAUUCAUACUAACAACAUAGAAUUUUCCAUGAAAAAGAAAGCACGACACAUGACGAAGUAAAUUCCAUUACAUCGACUGAAGCAAUGGUAACAACUGGCCCCUACAACAAUUGCAACAAGACCUUGACUCCUAUAAUCAGUUUCCAUAAAUUCUUCAGUUUGGAAACUAUAACAUAUAUGCUACAACUGAACCUUUAGCAAACAAUUAGCUGAGGUAGUUAAACAUGGCCUCAUCCUCAACCUUUUCCAUUAUUUUAGGGAUACUGCGGGCUACCAUCUUUCUAAUUUCCAUUGCUAGAACUGUGACAGUAGCAGAUCCAUCGCCUUUGGCGUCCGAAGCCAUAGCUAUGGUAGAAAGUGGGUGGUGGAGUAACUAUAGCAACAAUGCUUCAGAACGUUGCCAUUGGCCGGGUAUAUCAUGCAACACUGCUGGAAGCAUCAUCCAAAUUGACAUUUCUGAUGCGCCCAAUAUUGAGGUUGGAGAUAGAUUUGGGAAAUUGAAUUUCUCUUCAUUUCCAAAUCUUGUCCUUCUUGAUCUUAGUGAUCGCCAACUUGGUGGAAAAAUCCCGCAUCAGAUAGGUAAUCUAUCAGCAUUGAAGCACCUUGACUUGUCCAAUUGUGGUUUAUCCGGUGAGUUACUUCCUUCUCUAGGAAACCUAACCCAAUUAGAGUACCUUGACAUUUCCUAUAAUUAUAAUAUUAACGGUUCCAUCCCUCCACAACUAGGGAAUCUAGUGAACCUUGUCAGUUUAAAUUUGAGUUGGACCAGUCUUAGUGGAAACAUUCCACCGUUUCUUGGGCUAUUGACCAACCUUAGGCAUCUACUUUUGGAUGGGUAUCAAUUUGACGAUGGUAAUAAUACAAUUCCUCAAAAUUUGUGGAAUUUGAGGGGUCUUGAGACUUUAAGCCUAAGUCGUUGUGGAAUUGUUGGUCCAAUCCCUUCUGCUUUGGGUCAGUUAUUAAAUCUCAAAUAUUUACGUCUAGGGGGAAACAAAAUUAAUGGCUCUAUUCCAUCUGAAGUUGGAUUCUUAUCUAACUUGACUUAUUUUGAUGUCUACGACAACAGACUGGUUGGUUCAAUACCUUUUUCCUGGUACCAAUUAACCAAUUUGGAAACUUUGUUCCUUGAUGGUAAUCAACUUGAAGGUUCCAUCCCUCAUAAUAUUGAAAAUUUGAAGAACAUCAAGAUUUUAAGCAUCGCUAAUAAUAGUUUUACUGGUCAUAUCCCCCUAGCUUUGUGUCGUUUGACAAAUUUGAAAUAUAUUGACCUUGGCAAAAAUCAAUUCAGUGGUUCAAUCCCAUCUUGUAUUGGCAAUUUAUCCAAUUUGUAUACCUUAGAACUUGAUUCAAAUCUAUUAAAAGGUCCUAUCCCUGAAGAAAUUGGUAGGCUUUUCCACCUAUCAAAUUUAAACCUCAGCUUCAACCAAUUCUCAGGUAGUGUCCCUAUCUUGUCUGCCACUAAGCUUCGUAUUAUCGAUGCUGGAAAUAACUGUAACAAGAUUUCUCCCGAUCCAUUUGAAGGAAAUAGUCAUCUAUCACCCUAUAUGUGUCCUUCUCCAGUAACCAACAAAGCCAACAGCAGUACAAUUCUUUACUAUAUCAAAAUAUUCCUCCCUAUUGCCAUCUUCUUCACAUUCUCCAUUUUGGGAUAUUUUCUAUUUUCACGAUUUAAGCUCAAGAAUAACCGUGUCCGUGUACAACCGACGAAGAAUGGGGAUUUGUGUUCCAUAUGGAACUAUGAUGGAAAGAUAGCAUACGAGGAUAUUGUUGCAGCAACAGAGGAUUUCGACUUUCGAUACUGUAUAGGAGUUGGUGGUUAUGGAAGUGUUUACAGAGCACAACUACCUUGUGGUAAAGUAGUUGCCUUGAAGAAACUUCAUCGUUUAGAAGCUGAAAAUCCAGCCUUUGACAAGAGCUUCAGGAAUGAGAUCAAGUUUCUAACAGAAAUACGACAUCGAAGCAUCGUAAAGCUUCAUGGGUUUUGUCUACACCGACGGUCCAUGUUUUUGAUCUAUGAGUACAUGGAAAAAGGGAGUUUGUUCUGCAACCUAAGAGAUGAAGUGGAAGCUGUGGAAAUGGAUUGGACAAAAAGAGUGGAGAUCAUCAAGGGCAUAGCGCAUGCUUUGUCUUACUUGCACUAUGAUUGCAGCCCUCCAAUAGUUCAUCGAGACAUAUCAAGUAACAAUGUUCUUUUAAACUCGAGCUUUGAGGCCUUUGUAGCUGACUUUGGGACUGCUAAAAUGUUGGAUCUUGAAUCAUCCAAUCAGACCAUGAUUGUGGGCACAUGUGGUUAUGUAGCUCCAGGUGAUGACAUUUUCUUCGGAAAUUAUAAAAUUAAUUGAACAUAUAAAUGAUUUUCUUUUUUAUCUGGUUUUUCGUACGCAGAACUUGCAUAUACGUUGGUUGUCACCGAAAAAUGUGAUGUCUAUAGUUUUGGAGUGGUGGCACUGGAAACGUUAAUGGGAAAGAAUCCCGAAGAAUUGUUAUCAUGGUUGUCAUCACCAACUUCUUUGGUAAAUAUGAGGCUGAUUGAUGUGCUAGACAACCGUUUACCACUUCCGACAAGUCAAUUAGUUGCACAAAAUCUUGUUCGCAUUGCUAGUUUGGCAUUCGCCUGCCUAAAUCCACAACCUAAGUCUCGACCAACGAUAAAAGAAGUGUGCGAAGAGUUUCUUUGUGGCCAAACAUCCUUGGGAGUUCCCCUUCGGAUGAUCUCUUUGUUACAACUUGU
rnacentral:lncRNA from 1 species